CCUUCAGUAUAUAUUGUUUCAAUAAAGUCUCUAUCAUUAAAAAUAGAAAAAACUUCAAAUACCAUCCGUAUAGUUUCACACUUUCUCAUUUUAGUAUCAUGUGGUUUAAAGUGUAUCAAUUUAGUAUCAUGUGGUUUUAUUUUUAUCUUUUCGUCGGCUUUUUCGUUAAUAUUUCGUUGAAUUAUUUAUAAGAAACUUCAAAUAGUCUAUCUAAAUUUAUUAAAUAUUUAUCAAGUUGUUCUUGAUGAUAGAGAUUUCGAAUCGAUGAUCGGAGCCGUUGAAGUUGAUCUAGAGUAUUUGAAAUAUCUAGAAACUAAAUUUCAUAAAUUUUAAAAAUUAUUUACAUGGUGAUCAAAGUGUUGUAAAAUCGACAAUUUUUGAUGGCCUAUAUGAGCCGUUUGCUUGUUUAACAGUGUAGAGCAAUUCAAAUUGCUUGAAUUUUUGAUAAAAAAUUCUUUAUAUUAUUUAGAUAAUGUUUGAUAAUUCUGAUUAUGAAUUGAGAAAGUUUAACCUCUAUUUUAAGAAGGUCAUUCAUUUAUGACCGUUCAUUUUUCAAACUCUUCGAUGAACUUGACAAUGAUUUUUAAAUAUUACAAAAUUUGGUUUCGAAACAUUUCUAAUUGUAUAGUUCAAUUUCAAUGGUACCGAUUAUGAAUUUGAAGCUCCGAUCAUUUAAAAUGACUUGAUAGGACAAUGUCCUCAAUCCUAUUAAUAGGAUAGUAGAUGGACUAUAUAUAUAUAUAUAUAUUGAAUUAUGUUAUUAUACUAUCGAUAAUACCAAACACUUUGUAUUAUCGAGUUUUCGACCGUUAAGUAAAAGAAUGUGUGGUUAUGAUGAUAGUGGUCUCCGAUUAAGAUGAUAGUAGUUCCUGAGGAUUAAGUGCAUGGUUGGUUGAAUAGUAUAUUCUACGGGUGGAAAUGAUCAAAAGGUAGAUCUAACGAUAGAAAACUCGAUAGUAGCAAGGGCUUGAUAUUAUCGAUAGUAUAGUAGUUGGACUUAUAUUGAAUUAUAUAUAUAGAGUACAGUUAUUAUGCUAUUGGAAGUAUAAAGGAUCUCGUGCUUCCGACUUUUUCGUCUUAGAUCAGUCCCUUUAAUCAUUUCUAACUUUUGGAUUAAUAUUAUUAUCCUGUGGGGAUCACUCAACUCCAAGAGUACUACUUAAUCUUAUGAGGGAUCGCAAUCAUUCCAACCGUAUAAUUCUUGAUCCAAGGGUCAAAAAAUCGGAAACAUCAAAUGCUUUAUGUUUUCGAUAGCAUAGCAACUUGACACACACACACAUAUAUAUAUAUAUAUAUAUAUAUAUAUAUAUAGAGUUGAGCUGGAAUGCUAUCGGUAGCAAACUAGCUCCGUUGCCACCCAUUUGUUUUCGAUGAUGGAGCCUUUAAAUCGACGAUCGGCGCCGUUGAACAUGAUCUAUACCACUUGAAGUAUAUAGAAACCAAAUUUCAAAUCAUUUCGACAUCAUUGACCUAAUGAUCAAAGGGUUUCAAAAUUUGUAAUUUUAAUGGUAGAUAUAAGGCAUUUUCUCGUUUAACGGUGUAAAGCUAUCCAAAUCAAUUGAAUUUUGGUUAGAAAAUUCUUUAAACUAUUUAGAAUAAGAUCUAUACUCUCGAUCUUGAUUACAAAAUUCCUAUCAUCACUUUUUAGAGGAUAUUCAUUUUUACGCUCACUUGAUGAUAAGAGAACAAUAUCGAAAAAGUAUGAAAUUUGAUUCUAGAUACUUCAAGUGGUAUAGAUUAUAUCAACGGUUCCGAUCAUCGAUUUGGAGGCUCCAUCAUCGAAAACAAAUGUGGCACCGGAGCCCGUUUGCUACCGAUAGUAUUCUAGCUCAACUCUAUAUAUAUAUAUAUAUAUAUAUAUAGGAUCGGCUGGAAUACUAUCGAUAGCACCAAAGUUUUCACCUCUAAAUUUAACUCUUUGAUUAUUUUUACCCGUUAGAUUAUACUAUUCAACGAACCACUUACUCAACUCUAGGGGCCCACACACACACAAAUAUAUAUAUAUAUAUAUAUAUAGGAUCCGACUGGAAUACUAUCGAUAGCAUCAGUUUUCCACCUCUAGAUUAACUCUUUGAUUAUUUUUACCCAUUAGAUUAUACUAUUCAACGAACUACUUACUCAACUCUAGGGCGCCACAUCAUCCUUAACCACACAUUUCUCAAUCCAAUGGCUAAAAAAUUAAUAUCACCAAUAGCUUGGUGCUAUUGAUAGUAAUUCCAACCUAGUUUUAUAUAUAUAUAUAUAUAUAUAAUAUAUAUAUAUAUAGAGUUGAACUGGCUACUAUUAGUAGUAAAAUCCCAUUGUUGCUACAGUUUUUUAGCCUUUGGAUCAACUCUUUUCAUUAUUUUCUAACCCAUUGGAUUAAAUACUAUAACCCAGUGGGGACCACUCAACCCCUAGGGGGACCACUCAACUCUAACCGACUAAUAUCAUCCUGACCUUACAAUUUUUCAUCUAAGGGUUAAAAACUUGAUAGCAAAAAGAGCAUUUUACUAUUAAUAGUAUCCAGCCUAAUUCUAUAUAUAUAUAUAUAUAUAAUAUAUGCAGGCUGCUGUGCUCUAGGAGCACGAGCCCUCUGUGUGCUCCUGGGCCGUUUUCGAUGAUGGGACUCUCAAAUCGACGAUCGCUCCAUUAGACUUGAUCUAGCGUAUUUGAAGUUUCUAGAAAAUAAUUUUGCAAUUUUUUCGAUAUCAUUUACCUAGCAAUCGAAAGGAUUCAAAAUCAAUCAUUUUUAACGGCUGAAAAUAAAAAUCAUAUAAAAAGUGGUGAUAUAGCAUAAAAUUUCGAUCAUAAAUAUUGAUCUUUGUAGACAGUAUUAAGAAUUUUGUAUCAAAAUUUAUCUGAUUUGAAUACUUCUACAUCGUUAAACUUGAAAACGGCAGAUAUCAACCAUUAAAAUUAUUGAUUUUGAAUCCUUUCGAUCACUAGGUAAAUGAUAUCGAAAAUCGCAAAAAUUAUUUUCUAGAGACUUCAAAUACCCUAAUCAAGUCUAACGGACGCGAUCGUCGAUUUGGAUGUCCCAUCAUCGAAAAACGGCUCAGGAGCACGGAGGGCUCCGUGCUCCUGAGAGCACAGCAGCCCUACUAUAAUAUUAAUUUUCAACCAUGUGUCAUUAUUUUACGCUCACUUGAUGAUAAGAGAACAAUAUCCGAAAAAGUAUGAAAUUUUUCUAGAUACUUCAAGUGGUAUAGAUUAUAUCAACGGUUCCGAUCAAUCGAUUGAGCCCAUCAUCGAAAACAAAUGGGUGGACACGGAGCCCGUUUGCUACCGAUAGUAUUCUACUCAACUCUAUAUAUAUAUAUAUAUAUAUAUAUAGGAUCCGGCUGGAAUACUAUCGAUAGGCACCAAAGUUUUCCACCUCUAAAUUUAACUCUUUGAUUAUUUUUACCCGUUAGAUUAUACUAUUCAACGAACCACUUACUCAACUCUAGGGCCCACACACACACAAUAUAUAUAUAAUAUAUAUAUAGGAUCCGACUGGAAUACUAUCGAUAGCAUCAGAGUUUCCACCUCUAGAUUUAACUCUUUGAUUAUUUUUACCCAUUAGAUAUACUAUUCAACGAACUACUUACUCAACUCUAGGGCCCACAUCAUCCUUAACCACACAUUUCUCAAUCCAAUGGCUAAAAAAUUAAUAUCACCAAAUAGCUUGGUGCUAUUAAUAGUAAUUCCAACCUAGUUUUAUAUAUAUAUAUAUAUAUAUAUAUAUAUAUAUAUAUAGAGUUGAACUGGGCUAACUAUUAGUAGAAAUCCCAUUGUUGCUACCAGUUUUUAGCCUUUGGAUCAACUCUUUUCAUUAUUUCUAACCAUUGGAUUAAAUACUAUAACCCAGUGGGGACCACUCAACCCUAGGGGGACCACUCAACUCUAACCGACUAAUAUCAUCCUGACCUUACAAUUUUUCAUCUAAGGGUUAAAAACUUGAUAGCAAAAAGAGCAUUUUACUAUUAAUAGUAUCCAGCCAAUUCUAUAUAUAUAUAUAUAUAUAUAUAAUAGCAGGCUGCUGUGGCUCUUAGGAGCACGGAGCCCUCUGUGCUCCUGGCCGUUUUCGAUGAUUGGACUCUCAAAUCGACGAUCGCUCCAUUAGACUUGAUCUAGCGUAUUUGAAGUUUCUAGAAAAUAAUUUUGCAUUUUUCGAUAUCAUUUACCUAGCAAUCGAAAAGAUUCAAAUCAAUCAUUUUAACGGCGAAAAUAAAAAUCCUAUAAAAACGUGUGAUAUAGACUAAAAUUUCGAUCAUAAAUAUUGAUCUUGUUGUAGACAGUAUUAAGAAUUUUGUAUCAAAAUUUAUCUGAUUUGAAUACUUCUACAUCGUUAAACUUGAAAACGGCAGAUAUCAACCAUUAAAAUUAUUGAUUUUGAAUCCUUUCGAUCACUAGGUAAAUGAUUCGAAAAAUCGCAAAAAUUAUUUUCUAGAGACUUCAAAUACCCUAGAUCAAGUCUAACGGAGCCGAUCGUCGAUUUGGAUGUCCCAUCAUCGAAAACGGUCAGGAGCACGGGGCUCCGUGCUCCUGAGAGCACAGCACCCUACUAUAUAUAAUAAUAUAUAUUAUAUAUAAUUGAGCUCCUAUGCUUUUAAAAGUACCAAGUUAUUGGUACUGUAGGUUUUUAGCCAUUGGAUUAAGAAAAUAUCGUUAGGAUGAUGUGGCUCCUAGGUUGAGUGAGUGGUUGGUUGAAUAGUAUAAUCUAAUGGUUGAAAAUGAUCCGAAAGUAAUAAAUGAUUUAACAGUAAAAAACUUACAAGCACCAAGUGCUUGGUGCUUUUACAAGCACCAUAGCUGACUCUAUAUAUAUAUAUAUAUAUAUAUAUAUAUAUAUAUAUAUAUAUAUAUAUAUAUAUAUAUAUAUAGUGUAAGGCUGCUAUGCUAUCGGAAGCACGGAGCCUUCCGUGCUUCCAGCUCGUUUUCGAUGUAGCGACUUUCGAAUCGUCGAUCGCUCCGUUAAACUUGAUCUAAGAAUAUUUGGAGUACCUAGAAAAUAAAUUUAUUAUUUUUCGAUAUCAUUUGCCUAGUGAUCGAAUGGACUCAAAAUCAACAAAUUUCAAUGGCCGUAUUGAGCCAUUUGCAAGUUUAAACGCUGUAGAAAUAAUACAAAUCACGUGAAAUUUUGAUAGAAAAUUCUUUAUACUAUAUAAAACAAGAUCAAUAUCUUUGAUUUAAAAUUUAAUGUCAUAUAUUACAUUUUGUAAAUUUUUAUUUUCAACCGUGAUUUUGAGCCCCUUCGUCACUAGGCAAAUGAUAUCGAAAAUACAUAAAAUUUAUUUUCUAUGUACUUCAAAUACUUUAGAUCAAUUAACGGAGCCGAUCGACAAUUCGAAAGCCGUAACAUUGAAAACGAGCUGGAAGCACGGAAGCUCCAUGCUUCCGAUAGCAAGUAGCCUCUCUUCUCCUCUCCUCUAUAUAUAUAUAUAUAUAUAAACUAGGCUACUAUGCUAUUAAUACACCAAGUCGUUGGUGCUACCAAGUUUUUAGCCAUUGGAUUAAGAGAUUGUGUUAGGAUGAUGUGGGCCCCCUAGGGUUGAGUGGGUGUUGGUUGAAUAGAUGAUCUAACGGUGAAAAUGACCAAAUGAUAGAUUUAACGGCGGAAAACUUAGUAGCACCAAGUGCUUCGUGCUAUUAAAGCAUAGUAGCCGGACUCUAUAUAUAUAUAUAUAUAUAUAUAAAUAUAUAUAUAGAGUAGAGCUAGAAUACUUGUAAAAGUAUCACCCAAGUGAUACUUGUGUGUUUUUUAACCCUUGAUGAGAAUGUGAGGUUGAGAUGAUGGUGGUAGGUGGUAGUAGGUGGUAGGGAAUAGUGUUUGAUCCAAGGACUAUUAGUAAUCAAAAAGUAGAUCUAAUGGCUAAAAACACACAAAGUAUCACUUGGGUGAUACUUGUAAAAGUAUUCUAGCCCUACUCUAUAAUAUAUAUAAUAUAUAUAUAUAUAUACGUGACUACUAUGUUCUUUUGAGUAUAGAGCCAUUUCCGGUCCUCUAGGGUUUAGUAGGUGAUUGGUUGAAUAGCAUAAUAUAACAGAUAGAAAAGAUCAAAGAGAUAGAUCUAACGAUUAAAAACUUAUAAAUAUAAAGCAGUCUAUACUCAUAAAACUAUAAUAGCCAGACUCAUAUAUAGGUUGGAGUUACUAUACUCUUACGAGCAUAGAGCCCUCUGUACUCGUAAGUGUUUAUAUAUAUAUAUAUAUAUAUAUAUAUCAGAUAAAGGUUAGAAACCAAGGAAAAUUACAAACUUAGGUGAAGACAAGCUAUCAGCAGCCCAAGUGCACCCACUAGUUCCCAAAUUUUAAAUUUUAGGGCCUGAGAGGGCAAUAAAAAUCAAGAUAAAUGGAGCUUACUAGGAACCCUAUUUUGUGAGGCUAGAAAAUUCAAGAUGAAACAACUUAUUUGAUUUAGAGCCUGUUUGGCCGCACUUCUUUAACUUAUUUUACAAGAAUUAGAUCUUACUGAACCAUUGAUUCUACAGGAUUCAAGAACCACAUAAUCAACAUAUGAAGCAAAAUUUGGACUUCGCAAACGAUUACACGUACGCCUAAUCGAUAUUUCAAAGGGAAUCUCUUCGUUCAUGCAAAAUUUUCUGUACUGGACGAAAAAUGAUAGUUGUGCAUAGAUAUAUAGGUCCUACGACACUCAAUUUAAUGCAUGCAAUAAUAUAUUGAUGUAUAUAUAUUGACUUAUAUAUAUAAUGCAUAGCAACGUAUCAGCGAAUAUAAAGGAUAUAUACCAUUCAAAGGAGUACUAUUUGAAUCACUUAUCUUUUUGGAAAAUAUUGUGUGGGGCUUGAAUGUAGACGAUUAUAGAUUUUCCGUGUUUAGCUUUUCUUUCUCGCCGAUUUGGAAUUAUCCAAAAUGGGUGCCCGCUACCGGGCUGUUUGGUUGCAUGCAUUUCUAAUUGCAUUGCAGUUGAAAAUGCAUACAUCUAUUAAAUCUUUGUUUAGUUUGGUAUAGUUAGGCCCAAGUGCUGCAGUUGCAUCUGUACGAGAAGGCCCAACUACAGUAAUUGGUACUGCAGCCAAAUUGGCUAUAGUACCAACUGCAGCAGUUGGGCCGGAGUCAGCGAUCACCCAUUAAAAAAAUAAAACAAAAUGUGAUUUUUUUCAUACGCUUCUUUUUUUUAUUUUUUUUUCAAAAAUACCUAUUCAUGAAAUUUGAUAGGAUUUAAUAAUGUCUAUUAGGGUCAAUAAAUUUUUUUCAUAUGUUUCUUUUUUUUUCAGUCGGUUAGUUUAAUAAUAUCUUAAUUUUUAUUUUGACCAAAUUUAUAAUAUAUUUGUAUUUAAAAUUUAUUAAAUUCAUACAUAAUUUUAUAAUAUAUAAAUUAUACAUAGAUAUAAAAGUCUUAAUUAAUAAUUAAAACAUGAUUAAGUUAUGCUCAGAAGAGAUAAUCUCACAUUUCUAUUUAAAAAUUGACAAAAUUUAUAAAUAUAAAUUUCAACUGCAGACUACCAAACGGAAGAAAUGUCACUGCAGCAGUUGUAACUUUAUAAAACCAAACAGACUAGGUAAGCAGUUGUAACUUUAUAAAACCAAACAGACUAGGUAUAGUUAUAGAGUACUAAAGUUAGAAAGCGUGAAACUACAGAGAUGGUAUUUGAAGUUUACCCUAAAUUAAAUUAGAAUAAAUUAAUAAAUGCACAAGUAAUCCCCAAACUUUUAGACAAGUUUUAUUUUGGCCCUCCAACUUUCAAGUUCAACAUUAGUUCUCUUGAUUUUUGGCCCUCCAAAUUAAUAUUUUUUGCACUUAAAUUUCACUUAAAGUACUGUUUUUAGUCAACUUUUAAAUUAAAACAUUUAAUACUCCCAAAUUUUCAAAAAUGCAUGUUCGACAAAAAAAAAGGGCUCCAUUAAUUCUUUAAAUAAAUUCAAAGAGCUGAACAAAGCCAAUAUAAAAGUAAAAUUUAACAAAGAGUUAUUGACCUGCAGUGCAAAUUAGGAAAAAAAAAAAAAUAGUCCCAACGUUGUAUACAAUACCAAAAUAUUAAUGUUCCUCAAUUGUUCAAUCUUUUUGAGUAAAUCAAUUGUUUCACAUGAUAUUAUCACAUUUUCUCCCAUUAAGUUCAAGCUUAUAUUCCGAGCGUAUCAACAAGUCAUCAGUUCAGAUGCGAUAAAAAGUAUUGAAUUCAAAAUAUUAUAAUAUUAUUCUUUAGUAACCUGAGCUUCUAAAGUAUUUCACGUCCAGAUCUCCCAAAUUCUCAUUCAAGAUUAUCAUACAAAUCAGAUGCAGCAUCACCAUUCCUCGAUUGUUCUUUUGUCACAAAAUCAUAUAAUUCAGAUCGUUUAACUUACGUCAUUUUAAAAACCGACUAAUGCUCACAAAUCACGCAAAAAAAUCAGAUGGGUCUGAUUUUUUUUUUUUUUUUUACUUUAAAUUUUUCCUAAUACCAUCAACUGUAUCACACAACCAAUUAUGUCUCUAUCAUGCCAGAUAAUAAUAUCAUGACUACCCAAUCAAUCAAGCACCAAAAAGAAAAAUAAAAAAAAGGAAAAGGAAAAGAAAAAGUGUAGACAUAUAUGCCACACUGGAAUGUUAGGAAGCUUCCUCUUAAAUGGAGAGAGACCCCAAGUAGUAACAACAACAACAACAACAACAACAUAUAUGAAUGCGACAUACAAAAUAGGCCAUGGGCAAAUAUGUGGACAUUCAAUGCACUACUAAAGUUUUGCAUGAAUUUGAACAUAUUAUAUUAUUAUAUAUGACAUAUUUGGAGAUAUAACCGUAGACAUAGUCCGUGGGGAUUCGUACUAUUCCUUUUUCGUAGUCCCAUUCGUUGAUGUUUGCGGCUAUAAAUGGAAAAAUUAAGUUGAUUAGAUUAGAUGAGAUGAGAUGAGAUGUUAGACACCGCACAAUGAGAGUGGUUGCUGCUAAGUUUGACACGCAAGCCGCAGAUAUAGAAUCUGGGCGUUUCGAUAACAGUCACUUUCGCCGCAGCUUUCUACGUUUACGCAGCGAAGAUAAGAGCAUUCUAUAGAUAAAAAUAUCUUUACGGCAUAAUAGCGAGUUUUACAUACAUAUAUAUAUAAAAGUAUUUAUUAUUUUUUGUAGUAGCAGAAAUAUGCAGCCGAGAUUAAGAUGUUCUACAUAUAUAAAAAAUAUCUACAAUUUUUUUGUAGUAGCAGAAGUAUGCAGCAGAGAUAAAAUUUGAAGGCACGAGUUCUACAUAUAAAAAUAUCUAUUGUUUUUUAUAGUAGCAAAAUUAUGCAGCAGAGAUGAGAGCACUCUACAUAUAAAAAUAUUUACUGAUUUUUGUAGUAGCAGAAAUAUGCAGCAGAGAUAAAAUUUAAAAGCUCGAAAUGCCAUACAGCAAUAGUGAGUUCUACAUAUAAAAAUAUUUAUUGUUUUUUAUAGUAGCAAAAUUAUGCUGUAGAGAUGAGAGCGCUCUACAAAUAAAAAUAUUUACUGAUUUUUGUAGUAGCAGAAGUAUGCAGCAGAGAUAAAAUUCGUCAUUUAUGUACAAAUCUUAAGACAAUACAAAAGGUGGAUUUAACGGAGUCGUCAUAGAGAUUGUCCAUAUAUAAUUUUUGUUCCUGAUUGAUCUAUUUAGCACUUUAUCAAUCAACACUGUACCAUUAUACUACAUAGAAAGGGCAAAUUUUUAUUUUCAGAAACAAGUACUUUGUAGCAGAAAAUGGAAAUAAUAUCAGAAAACUGUAAGUAGAAGCAGUAAUUUAUUAUUUCCACUAUUACUGAAGUUAUUAAAAAAAAAAAGGACACCCUGUUAAAUAAAUUCUAAUAUAAUGCAUGAGAUAUAUUUUCGCUUAAUAACACUGUAUCCUACAAUAGAAUCAAUUAAUCAGAUCUCAAAAAUGUUUUUUGUGUUACUUGUUCUACUGUUUGAAAAUCAAAGAAUUUUCUCGACUUCACAUCAUGAACAUCAAGUUCCUGAACUCACCAAAAGCAAAUGUUUAAUUUGAUUCAAGUACUCGUGCUUGUAAAUAUCUAGCUUAUGUGGUUAGGAUAAGCUUCAAAGGAACAGUGUAGCACAGCUUAUUGUCAUCUCAAAUAUUUUGUAAUUUGUUUGUAUUCUUACUAAUGCUGUUCCUUGAUGUCGCUGUUUCAAUCCUCUCAGAAUCAAGGGAAGGAAAAUGAUGUGCAUAUUAACCUAAAAUAAUUAAAUUAAGGGGGUAUAUGAUUACAUAUAGUUAUAACUAUAUGUAAAUUUAAAUUCAGUAGUUUAUCUGAUGCAUUUGUAUCCAACUGCAGUAUUUAGAAUUGCAUGAGAAGGUCCAACUGUAGCAAUUAAAAUUAUGCGUAAAUUGACCGCAAUUCAACUACAACAGUUAGAGAUCGAGUUUUACUUUAAACAAGCUAAACUUACAAACCUAAUCACUUUUAAAUAGAAAUUGUUUUUUUUCUACAUUAGAGGUAAUCUCAUCACCACAUAUAUAAAAUGAAAGAAAAAAAAGUACAGUGCACUUUUGAGUUGUAUGUUUUAACGUACGUAACUGAUCUAAAUUACGACUCAUUUUGAUCUUAAUCUUUAAACAUUUUGAAUUUGCUAUCUAACCUUAUAACUCAUUUGAAUUGAAUAAUCCAAUAAUUUUUAACUUCAUAAUUUGAAUGCAUCAUUUAUUUUUGUAGACUUAAUUAGCAUAAUUUACUUGAUUUAUACAACUAUAAUUCUAUUUAAUCUAGAGUUUAUACCGAAAGAGCUAUCAAAUGGCUCGCUUCAGAUAGAUCGGAAAAAUUGGAUUUAAAACCAAGCUUUUAAAAGAUUGUGUGGUUGAGUUAAGCCUAGGCAAAGUUCAGCUAAAGUACUAUAUACAUUUUUACCUUGUUUUUAAUGCAUGCAAACAAUUGUAAAUGUAACGUUGUACCUUGUUGAGACCAUACAUAAAAUGGUCCUAAACUCUCCCAUACAGCAAGAACAUGUAAGUUUUGUACAGCAUUAAUGACUACACACUAAAGUGUAGCUCUAGAGGCUUUCUAUAUGGAGUACUGGACCAUGCUAACAUUGGACUUUAGGGCACAUGGGCCUCCCCCAAGAGAGAUGUUUCAAUCCUUGUUGUAAUGUUAACAUCAUCUGUUGUUAACUUUAAAAAACUUCUGUGUGGACAAGAAAAGUUUGAGUACUCCUAUACUCAGAUGAGGAAAAAAAAUGUGCCAAUGCCUUUUAUAGGAGUAACCACAAAUUGGGGAAAUAUAAAAGGGCAUUGGAAGGAUCCAGAAGAAUAUGCUUGGACAACAUAUAGUGGGUUUUCCUGGACAAGAGCACAUGAUAUUGCCCUGUAUGUUCAGAUGGUGACUUGCAGUAAUGAUUGAAUUGAAUAGGUGAAGACAGAGGGAUAACCUUAGCAACUAUGCUGGCCCCUCUAGGAGAUAUGAAAUAGAGUAUUGCUACAGGUUCCCAGAGUGUUGCACUUAUAGAUUAUUGAUGAGUUGAUAAUUCAUGACGCGGAGCGUGUUAAGACUAAUCCUGAACUAUUUCUUGCUAGAUCGAUAUUUUGAAUAAGAUUGUAUAAGAGCCAAUUCUAAGCUCCCUCUGUUUUAAGAGAUUUUGAGUUUAAUUUCUGCAUCUGUUGUUUUACGGCAUGCGUUUAUGAUAAUUGUUCCGUUAUUAUCUCUCCAGUCAGUGCACGUGGCAUAAUGAUCCAAAGCUGUUAGAACAAUAUUACUCAAUCAUAAGGUCCUAUAGGGUUGUAGUUCGAAACUUCAUUAUAUUUCAAUAAAUGUUUUCUUCCAAGACAUGAGUCAAGCUUUAAUGAUUUUUUUUUUUUUUUUGAGAGAAACUUUAAUGAAUUUAUUUACAAGCUUUUCCCACACACACACAAAAAAAAAACAACAACAGAAAGGAUUUUUCUCAUUUCCUACAUAAAAUGUCCAAGUUUCUCCCCUUCCAAAAACUAGAGAUCUGCUAAAAGGAAAGAAAACUUCAUUGUAGGCAUUAACUUUUGGGUCUUCCUCAGAAAAAAGAUAACUUCAAUAAUAUCUACAAGAGUAUACAUAAAUACAACAAUCUGGAAAACACAUCAAAUGCACUCACACUUGAGAGACAAAAAUCAGCCUUUAAGAAUUGCACCUAUCACCCCACUCACCCUCAAAUGCAGAACAGGAUACUUAAUCGUCAUUUCCGCACUUUGGCGAGUUGUUUAUAAUUACACCACAUGCCAGGUUGAAUUUGAAGUUCAUGUGAAUGAAUGAAAUGAAUUGUAUUCUUCUAACCUUCGGAAAAUAAAAUCUUGAAAAGUUGCAGAUUGGAUUAUGUCUGUUGUGAUGACUCCGAGUCUCCACGUGUAUCAACUUUUAGGUGACUCACUUGAACAAUUCUGCAAAAUAAGACCAAUGUCGGUAAAUCUUUUUUGCCCAUUCUCUCACUAAUAUCGGCUUCAAUGGAAGAGAUCUAUUUUUAAUUUAACAAUAUUUAUUGAAGUUUCUAAGUUAGACUUAUAAGUUACAAUAUUAUUAGCAUCAGUAAGGGAAUUCAUUCUCAGCAGAUUCCAAUUCAAAAGCAUCAAGAUAUACUUUUAAAAUCUGUCAGACAUAGAAUUGAAAUCCUGCAAUAACUCCGAUAGAAGGUUCAGAAACAUCUGCAAUUUUGCAUGAAAAAUAACAUUUCGAGAUAUCUACUACUGCUCUAACUCAUUUUUAGGCAUGCAAAUGAUAACAAAAGGCGCAAGAGUCUAUAGAGUGGUUUUAACAUAAUGUCAUGUCGUUUGUUCUUGGACUCUUCAAUUCCCUGAUUAAACCAUGCUUAAUAUUACAGUUUUAUCAACAGCAUACGACUUUACCCUGUAAGAAAGAAUCAUCGGCAAGAAUGUAAGACAUCAUAAUCAAUCGACAGAACAUUGGCAAUUCAUCCUCCUAAAAAGGAUAUUUUGAUUACGUACUAGGCACAAGGCUUAAUUGUACUAGUAUGUUCUCAUAAUUGUAAAUUUGUUAAUCUGGAAAAACAAAACUUACCUUAUGAUUGUUGCAUAUGACCAUCUCCAUGAGCUGAUGUCGUGCUCGCUCUUUCUUCAUCAGCCCUUGCAACUUCAAUAUCUCCAUCUUCAGAACUGUAGCUCUCACUUAAGUCUAGAGAUUCUGUAUCUUUAGUGUGUUGAAUAACAGGAAAAGCGAAUGGAUCUGAUGCAUCUAGUCCAUGUCUUUCCUUCGCCUGUAAAUUAUUCUCGAUUUCGGUGUAAUCCAAGCCCCGCAAUAUGUUUGGAACGGACAAAUUGCUGUCAAAUUCGUGCCUAACACCUAUUUCCAAGUCUAUUUUCUCCUUCAGGCCACCCAAACUAAUUCCGUGAUAUGGAGCAAUAGUAACGGAUCCAACUUCUGAUGCCUCCUCGGUCACCCAUGAUCGAAAUUUAUUCAAUGAAGGGGGCAUUUUCGAGAAAAAGACUUGUUUGAAGUUACUUAAUAUACCCUUGUUAUAUGGAUUUUCCUUUUUAUCGUAGCGGUAUCGGAAGUUCUCAUAAGUUGUCUGCACCAAAAAAGCAUCAGCUCUUUUCGGUAGCCGCAAAGAAUAGGAAGAAAGAAAACUAUAACAAUAACUCAAAACUUUAAGAAUCACAUAAACUUAAAAAGAAAAGUUUCAUCACAUUAAUUCAAGGUCACCAUGAAAGAAUUAUUCGCAUAUGAUGCCCCUCAUAUACUUCUAGAAUGAAUAUACUAAAUACAGCAUUUUAGGAGAAAUAUGUGCAAGUUUUUGUGGACAUUAUUAAGUAUUUACCUGAUUCGAGCUGAUUAGGUAUGUAUGGAAUGCCGUGAGACCACCGACAAACCAUACUGCAAUGAAAGUGUACACUAUUAGCACUAGGGACAAAACCUCGCCCGUCAUGGACUUCCACAAUGAAUUGUUGUAGUUUUUUCUCUCCUCGAUAAUAUUUAGCCAGGAAAGGGUGAAGACAUAUAUGCAAAGGAAGGUCGACGAUGAUAUAAAUAAGUAAAAGAACCGGUAGUUGCGCUGCAUCAAUUUUAGGAAGUUUUGUUAGUUCCAAGAAAUAUUAUGUGAAAAUGUACAAUAUAAAAAUGUACGGAUCGUAACUGAGGUCUAGUGCAUUUUGAAACAGAUACCUGAACUCUAAAAAUAUCAAUUUUACUACCUAACCUUACAAAAUAUAGGAUCUAAGUAUCUCAGCAACAGAACUUUAUGCUGUUCUUUACUUCUUUUGAAGGAAUAUUCUGUAAACAAAUGGACUAUGCUAUCACGUCACAAAAUAUUCAAUAAAUUUUGAUGAACUUGAGAAACUUUCUGAAAUCAAAGGUUAUAAAACGUUAGGUAGUGUAAUCCAAAUUUUCAUAGUUCGGAUAGCUAUUUCAAAAUGCGCUGCAGUUCAGAUAAGCCAUAGGUUUUCAGCAAUUUAUAAUUCAGAUAACUUACCAAUCCAAUGCACUGACCAACCCAUGGGCAGUGGUGAUCGAACUUCUGGACACAGUUAUUGCAGAUUGAACAGUGAGAAGCCCGAGGUGGCCGAUACAGCAUACAUGUAUCGCAGUAUUUCACCUUUACAGUGUAGCCAUUUACAACAACAUCCUUUGUGCGCGGCAGCCGUAAGUGCGGGCUUGUUGCAUUGAUCCACUCCAUCGAAGGAGUGUUGACAUCGAAUGCCUCAUCAGGCGGGCGCGAAUUUCUCGGUAGUAUACCAGGAUCUCUACUAGACGUCAAAAAGAGAAAAGCCAAAUCCUAUACCACCCAUCAACAAUGUAAGUAAAUGUCUCACUUAGGAGCCAGCUAGAGCGUCUACAUAUAUGUUGUUUGAGUAGAUCUUUUCGAAGAAGCACUAUAAACUCUUUUAUUAAGUAUCUCCACUACAGCUUCUAGCAGUAGUGAAUCAAAUUGGAGCUUUUGCUUUUAGGGUCCAGCUCAGCUUUCUUGCCACGGCAAAAGUUUGGAGCUUUCUGCUUACUAGAGUACAGAUGCAUAAGCUACUCGAGAAAUAGGGCGAAGCCUAGUUAAUGAACGAAGAAAAUUAUUUAUCACUUACCGAUAUCAUGAUAACGAUUGUCACGAUUAACACUGGAAGGCCAAGUAUAUGUUUGUGAUCACUAUUUGAGGCAUUACUGUGUGAACUUUCAUGGCUAUGGAGCUUUGUAAUCACUUGACAACAAAAGGCGACUGAUGGACCUGCUAUUAGAAUUGUAGACAGAAAGAGAGAAGCCACAUCUGGACCAAAUAUCAGUCUCCCACCGCAGAAGAAUUUCUGAGAAGAAGAAGCAGCAGAAAGCAUAAGAGUGUGGGAAUACUUGUAUCAAUUAAAUUGCACACAUAUGUUAUGUAGAUGGACAUAAGAAACAAUGUAGAAGAUGAUCAAAGAAAUUAUUUUUUUUCCAAAUAAUACCUUAUGCUCAAUAUGAAAAGGACAGGAAAAAAAAAACUUCAUGAGUACUAUGUUUAAACUCAUACUCUUAUUAAAAGUAAAUUCCAUGUAUCCAUGCCAAUGCAAACUAUUUUUUAAUGCCAAUGCAAACUAAACACGAAAGGGAAAGUUCGUGCCCAGUAAUCUAUUAUAAAUGAGAAAAGGCAUUAUCUUUGUGAGCCAUACAAAUAUCAAAAUUACAAAAGUAUGAAUUUUAAAUUCUCAUCCAAAUCCCUCUGCUAUAAAUCAGUAUGAAAUCAUCAACAAUGACUUCUCAAAUGCGCUCGCAAACUUUUAUACUUGGUGAUUGGAUUUUCAUAGUCAUUCACCAUCGAUUUAUUCUUGGGUACAGGCAUCUUAGCAAUAAAAUAGUACAAACCAAGCUGGAGAAUGGUAAAUGUUAUUGAGACAAUAAAAAAUAACUAUGUUAUCAAUUAAAUCUGCAUAUUACCCUUUGACAUCAAUGAAAAGAAGUAAAUUUUGAUCCAUGAUUAGCUCAAACAGAUCUUCGUUGUGUGAUAUCUAUUACCCAAAUAAUCGACCUAAUAGGAAACGGUCCAGGAUUUGUCUUAACACACCCCUACUCACGUGCAUGAUGAUAUUAGAUAAAUCAGAAUGAUCGAGUAUUAAACUCAACACACCCCCACUCACAUGCAUGAUGGAUAUUAAGUAAAUCAUACCACGUGCACCGACAAAAAUAGAUAACAUAAAAUGGAAGAUGAGGGAACCGAACUCAAGACCUUUUGGACCAGAAGGGGCUUAUCACUACUUUAAUACCAUGUUAACCCAAAACAUCAAUAUGAUAGGAAACGGCUCAGGAUUAGUCCUAACGAAAUCCAUGAUGGGAUUUAAAUUCAAUUAUUAUAGCUCAUGCAACAUCACUUGAUCCUUGAUUUCUGAAACUAUGUUACGAUUAGAUACCUGUUUGUUGAUCCUGUAAAUUUUCUUAAAACAUAAAAUAAUGCAUAAAUGAUUAAAAAAAAAAGAAGAAUAAACAAAACACAUUAAUCAGAUAGAGAAUAAAACUACCUCACCAGAUCUAAUUCAAAACAUAUCUGAAUUUCAAACCCAAUAAAGUUUUCGAAUAAAAACCCAAAAAGAAAAAGAAAAAUCAAAUUUGUUCCACACAUUCCAAGCCCUAUCAUAAAGAUCAACAACCACAUCCAAAUUUAGCAAUAAAACACACAAAAUUAGGCUCAAAUUUCUCACGUUGCUUCCUUUCCAAACUUGAUACAGCCUCUUGCGAUUCGGGGCCGCGGGUGUCGCCAUUUACCCUUCUCCUCCCCCAAAAUUACGAUCAAAACGCAAAGAAAAAUCGGGAAAAAAAAAUUAAACAAAAGCAAAAACCCAAAUCGAAUUUGGGGAUAUGGGUUUCCAAAAUCAAAUCACGACACACAUUUGGGCCUUUGGGAAGAGCGAUGAGAGAGAAAGAGAGAAAGAGAGAGACAGAGAAAGAAAAAAGAUUCUGAAAUCAAGGGGGUCUCUCUCUAUCUCCCCCCCUCUUUCUCUGUUUCUUUUUUUUUUUUUUCCUCCUCUUUAUUUUGGAUCUGAAACACCUAUUUCUCUCUCAUCCCUGGGUGUUUCUCUCUCUCUCUCUCUCUCUCUCUCUCUAAUAUUUUCUCUCUCUAGCGGAAGCGGGUGUAAUGAGAGAAGAGAAGGGGUUCUCAAUUUUCCCGCGGCGUUUUCGCGGGAAGGUAACGACUCCAACGUGUGAAAGGCAAAAGAAAAGGGAAAACUUCAAAUACCACCCUGUAGUUUCAUACUUUUUCAUUUUAGUAUCCCGUGGUUUAAAGUGUAUCAAUUUAGUACCCUGUGGUUUCGUACUUUCUCAGUUUAGUACCCUGUGAUUUAAAGUGCAUCAAUUUAUUACUAUAUUUUAUUUUUCUCCUUUCGUCGGGUUCUUUGUUAAUAUUUCGUUAAAUUAUAUAAGAAAAACUUCUGAUACCCUACUUAGAUUUUUUGAAUGUUUACUUCAGUACCAUUUAGUUUUAACUUUAUCACUGAUUUUUUUUCCUCCGUUAAUAUUUCGUUAAAUUAUAUACAAAAAAUUUCAGAUAUUAUAUCUAAGUUUAUUAAAUAUUUAUUUUAGUACCCUUUAAUUUUAACUUUGACACUGAUUUAAUGAAAAAAAUUAGCGAAAUGAAUAAUAAAAAGAGAAAAAUGAAACCGCAGAGUACUAACCUGAUAUACUUUAAACCGCAGGGUAUUAAAAUGAGAAAGUGCGAAAAAACAAGGGCUAACUUGAUAUCCUUUAAACUAUAGUGUACUAAAAUGAGAUAGUGUGAAACCACAGCGGGGUAUUUGAAGUUUACCCAAAAGAAAAAGUAAGCUAAUUUACAAAAAAUCCCUUACACUUUAGAAUUUUUUUUGGGGCUUUUUUUGCAAAUAGCCCCCUAACUAAUUUUUUUUUUAAAAUUGGCCCUAUCAAAAAUUUAUUUGCAAAAAUGGCCCGGUCCCACCACGUCAGCGCCACGUCAGCGCCACGCGGGCGGGGCUGGGCCAUGUGUUUAAGUUGAACACGGUGAACCAUUCACCGUAUUCAAUACAAGGUUUUUGUAUUAGACACGGUGAAUGGUUCACCGUGUCCAAUACAAAAUGGUUAACUGCGAGGUAUUUAUAUUGGACACGGUGAAUGAUUCACCGUGUCCAAUACAAAUAAUUGAACACGGUGAAUGAUUCACCGUUUCCAAUACAAACACCCACAACUUAGUCAUUUUUGGCUAAGUUGGAGGUAUUUGUAUUGGAUACGGUGAAUCAUUCACCGUGUCCAAUACAAAAAUCUUGCAUUGAACACGGUGAAUGGUUCACCGUGUUCAACUUAAACACAUGGCCCAGCCCCGCCCGCGUGGCGCUGACGUGGCGCUUGCGUGGCGGGGUCAGGGCCAUUUUUGCAAAUAAAAUUUUGACAGGACCAAUUUUAAAAAUAAAAUUUAUCAAGGGGCUAUUUGCAAAAAAAACCCUUUUUUUUGCUUAUUUUUAUGGAAAAAUCCAACGCAACGAAAAUGCCGUAUUCAGUAAUAAAACAUCCUGAGAAAACAAACUAAACUCGGCAUUUGGCACCUUUGACGCGUUCCAUGCAGAAUCUCCGUGCUCACCAUUUGUAGCUGUAACAUUAUUAGCAAAUAAUUAAACUAGAGCUUGUAUAUAUAUAUAUAUAUAUAUAUAUAUAUAUAUAUAUAUAUAUAUUUUGGUGUUGCCUCCACGUCUUUGAGCUAAUGAUAUACUAAUGGCAGCAUUGAAAUUCGUGCGGAGCUUGUUCUAUUUGUAGGGGCGUUGCUCGUUAUUGCCAUUCGUAUAAGUACAAUCCUAAGAGCGUAUAGUUACAACUGUUUAAUAAUUUUAAUUAUAUAUAAAUUGAAAUGUAGGAUUUGGACCGAUAUAAUUGAGCCUAUUUGUUGCGGCUGGAAUUGGAUAGAGACAAAACUAAUAUAUGAUAGCAAAUCAUGAGCUCUUUAAUAAUGUAUUGUUUGAGAGCUCUAAAAUGAAUCGUCAAAUUACUAUGAUUGUCAAUGAGCCAAAUACGAGCGAGCUAAGCGCAGCUCAAGAUUGACUUGAAACUAAUUCUACCUGAUUUGUAUUUGGCUCGAUUGUCAAUGAGCCAAAUGCGGAAAACUCUCCAGAUACACCCACUGGCCUCUAUUACAGUCAAAUGGUGCCUUUCUUUCCACGUGGAUCCAAAUGUGGGAAAAAGUAUAGGUCAAACUGUGACAUAAAAUUGGUUUGAUGUUUAUUGCUAUAUGCCGGAACUUAUGAAAGAAGCGCAAUAAUAAAAUUUUUAAUGGAUUGUGUAGAUCAUCUGAAGAACAAGCUCGAGUAUCUCACAAUGAUGUGCUAAUGUGAUUCAAAUUUUUAUAACUGGGGGGUUAAAUUUGGGAAUCAAUUAUUGCAGUGGGUCUAUUCACUACUGAGCCCCAGUGACUAUAAUUUAUAUUAUUUGUUUUAUAUGUAACUCCUAUUAUAUUCAAUGAAACGUAUACAUUCUUUUCAAAGAAAAAAAAAAAAAAAAAGCCGAACGCGAGCGAGCUAGGACUAGCUCGAGAUCAACUUGAAAAUGAUUUUAUAUUGUGCCAUCUUGAAUUAACUUUAAUAAGAUAUCAAUAUUAUCUGCAGUUAGUAUUAUUACUAAUUUAUUAUUAUUGAUGCUUAUUUUUGCUUUUAGCAUUUCUAAUUAGUAUUAAAAUUUAAAGUCAUGCUAACAAAAAUUAGUUUAGAAUGAUAAAUUGCAACACUUCAACUUAUGAAAACUUAUAGGAUUGAUCUAAACUAUAGACAAUUUCGAAUCAAUUAUCCAAUUUUUCAAAAUUUUUUGAUUUUACUGUACAAAUUUUUAAUUUGUUUGAUUUGAGUCGGUCAACAAUACUUUGACUUCAAAAUUUAAGUUGAUUAUUUUAAUUAAUUUAUAGUUGUCAAAAUGACAUAAAGUAUACUAAGUAAAUUUUUGAAGAUAAAAAAGAAAAUUUAGCUUUUAAACUCAAAGUGUAGUUGACAAACUUAAAUCAAAUAAAGUGAAAGAUUGGAUAGUCGACUCAAAAUGGCUCAUAAUUUAGAUAAAUUCUAUAUAUUUUUAUCUUAAAUAUUUCACUUUAAUCUUUAUUACCCAAAAAAACUCAAUUAAAGCACUAAAUUUUAAGUCAUUAUAAUUAAAUUAUCAAACUCCAUCCAUCCCCAAACUCUACAAGCCUCGAUUAAAAUAAAAUAAAAAUAAAUAAACAUUACAAAUAUUUAAAAAAAUUUAAUUGUUUCACAAUUUAUAAAAAUUUAUAAAAUUUAAAAAUUAUUUGGAUCAAAUAUUCUCCCAAGUAGUCGGCUGUUGGUUGUAGGGAUGUCGACGGGUCAAGUUCAAAGCGGGUUAUAAAAAAUCCGAAUUUGAAACCAACUACCAAAAAUCGAAACCCAAAUCCAAACACAAAAUCGCCGGGCUAUGAAAAUCCAUAUCCAAAUUCCGAAUAUGACUGAAAAUCAAAACCUAAAACCAAACCCGAAAAACAUAAACCUGAAAGCACUUUUAUCUUUUUUUUUCCCCAAUUUUCCAAAACAUAUCAUUCUCAAAUUUAAAAUUUCAAAUUACAAAUUAAAAUUUUUAUAUAUUAUAUAACAUAAAACUAGCUCAAGUUCAGAUUCAGGUUGGAUACAAAUAAAAGCCAUACUCAAACCCGAAAACAUCAAAUUUAAUUUUUUUAUGCGUAUAACUAAAACAUUUAGCAUCGGUUAAAUCUGUUCUAUUCGAAUUUACGUUUAAAUAAAAUUUCGAGCAUACUUAACCACUAACAUCCUAAAUUGGAAGGAUACUUUUGUUCAAAUAAAGAUCUGCCCUACUCCUAAACCAUCUCUCUCAAAAUUUCGUUAAAAAAAAUAAAUAAAUAAAUAAAGAAAAACCCUAGAGCCCUUUUAACUGUUUCUUCUUUCCCUUCUCUUUUUCUCCAUCCCCCGCUCCCUCGCUUGUUCAUGGCGAAGCACUAAACCCCUCUCUCUCUCUCUCUCUCUCUCUCUCUCUCUCUCUCUCUCUCUCUCUCUCUCUCUCUCUCUCUCUCUCUCUCUCUCUCUCUCUCUCUCUCUCUCUAAGCAGGGGAUGAGCUCGCUAGUGAGAAGAACCCUCAUCUUCCCCGAAACUAGGGUUUCCUCUCCCAAGAGUCCCCAGUGCUCAAUCGCUUCUUGCUCCCCUCCGAUCUCUCCUCGCCAGAAGAUCCUAAGCGAUCACGAGCUCCACCCUCCCCCCAAGAAGAAGCAGAAGCACUGGGCACCUUGCGUUUCAGAUAAGCCGUUCCCUUGUUCCCCCUCAAGGUCUCAUUCUCACGAGGUUUUGGAUGAGGGGCAUGUCGAUGGAGCCCGAAGGAAGAGGACGAAGAUCCGCCUAUUCCAAAAUCGCUUCUUCAAGGGAGACGUCGUCUGGGCGAAGGCUUUUCCGUACACGUGGUGGCCCGGGUGGGUUGGUAGAAUCGAGGGUUCCUUCGCUUGGGUUUCGUUCUACGGCUGCAAGAAGUCGCGGCGGUUUAGGGUUUCGGAAAUCUGCGGGUUUGAGGAGGGUUACGAUCGGAUGUCGAAGAUGGGGGGUGUGAAAUUGGCUGAUGAGAUUAAUCUUGCUUUGGAGGAUUUAAGCCGGAGGACGGUGAUCGCACUGACGAGUUGUUGCUGGGUUUCGCCGGUCGAAUCGAGCGGGGUUUCGGCCGAUCAUAUUUCCGGAGUGAGGGAGAGAUUCGAUUCGAGGGAAGUGUUGCGCUUCGUUAAUGAUUUGGGGGUUUCCGCAUGCGUUGCAGACAAAGAAACUGCUAGGGUAGUUAGAUUUUCUGCCCAGGUUUAUGCAUAUAGAUCGUAUGCUUCAACGUGUCGACGUAGUGCAGUAGCUGGUGACUUUAGUGUGGCCGAUAUGUUAGAAUUUGCUCGUGAUUUCGCCGUUUUGCUGUUCAUCGAUGGUGUCGAUGAUUCUGUUGUUUCGGCAGAAUUGGAUCGGUUCAAUGAGUUUAGACGGUUCGUCUCAGUUUUCCCUAGAUGGAUGUAUCAGCAAAGAGUGGAACUUGAGGAGGCCUUCCCCUUUGAUGAGUCUGUAGGUAAUUUAUUAAUUUUGGGCUCAUUGCAAUGACGGUAUUUCUUUUUCAUACUCCCAACUAGAGUAAUUGGUGAACUUUAGACUAGAAAGUGAGGUUUAAUUUCAAUUGCUUAAACAUGGCCUUAUUUUCGCGUAACACAAUCCAGCGUAUUUGUUACGCAUCAAGUAAACAGCAAGGUUCAUCUGAGACCUGCAACUGCAACAAGAAAGAGGUGGAAAGCACUUCUUUCUUAGGCUAUGAAGCCCGAUGUGCUAGCGCUUGUGACCCAAGCCUGAAGUGACUGACUAAUAAGAAACUGAUAGGAGUCGUGCUCGGCUUUCUUUCUUUUAUUUAGCCAAGGAUAUUCUUCUGAACCUAUCUUCAAAAAUUAAAAAAACUAAAGCUUUACAUCACCUUAACUUACUAGAAUGGAACAAAACAGUAUUAUAAGUAGUCAUGCAAAGAUGGAAUUGAAAUAACAGAAGGCUAAACCCAGUCUGAGAUGCAUUAUUAUGUCUAGGACCCAAAGUUGAGCAUAUUUAUGUAGUGUUCGAAGAGGAUAAUUAAUUGGACCGUUUUAAGCUCUAAACGUAGUUGUAUUGGAAUCGUAAAAUUGUUCCUGAACCAAGUUUAGAAAGUUGAGCAAAGAGGAUAAUAAAUUUGACUGCUAACCUCUAAAGUAAUUGGAAUCUUCAAUUUAUUGUUGUGACAUCAUUGAACAUCCCUCUUUUUUUAUGAAGGCUCAAUUGCCUCUUAAGAUCACAAAUUCGAUUACUAAAAUCUAAAUCUUGCAAUAACCUUUGGCAUGAUUUAUGCAUGCACCUUUUAUUUUAACCUAAAUAAAUCAACAUACAUAGCGGCACAGUUGAGUCUGAAAACGAAUUUAACUUAGCUUCAUUUCUUGCUGAGAAGGGAAACUUAGUGGCCUGUCAAAUCCACAUUGAUGCACCUUCUUCAGAUUUUACUCCUCCUUCAGCGUUAACCUUCAACUUCUAGGUAUGUCGACACAGAAUUAGGAUAGUAUAGGAUUCUAAAACCUAUUUUAACAGUAAAAUAUGUAAGAUUGUUAAACAAUACUAAACUAACUUCGUGCGUGAGCUUUACUUAUUCAGUUUUCUGUGGCUGUCUAUUGGAAAUUAGUAAAUAUUGUGGAAUUUGAAUUAAUUGCUUGAGUGUGCAUUCAAUUGUUUAACAUGUAGUGGUGUAUGAUUUCUGAAUUUUUUAUGUUCUAAGUCUUCAUUUAAUGUUUUUAUUUUUUUUCUUUGAACUAAGCCGAAAAUUCUUUACGUGCUUUCUCAUUUAAUAAUUAAAAUGCUCGAUUAGGUAAAGAGGACUUGUCCGAUUUAUCAUCGGAGAGUGAGACGGUGUAUGGAGGAAUUGUAGAACCUGAAGACGAGCUUGAUGAUAACAUACUAGAUUUAGAAUUUGAGAUAACUCAACAGCAAGAGCUAGAGGUCCUAGAGGGCCCAGAGGUAUGCAUGCUAAACCGGGCAGAUUACGCAUUCCUUGAUAUGGAUGAAGAAUAUGAGUCUCUUCCAAACUGUCUAGAAGUAGCAGUUGAACAGAGCAAUUCAACAUGGAAAGAUAUCUCUGUGGAUCAAACUUUUGAGUUGGAAACGUCAUUCACUAGAAUGCCGUUAAGGGAAGUAGAUUUUGGUACUACAUGCAACAAAAACAUUCCGUCUGCUGAUGAUGGAUCUGUUUUUCAUGCACAUGAACAAGCUUCGGUACAUCUAUCAUGUUAUAAAGAUGAUAACUUGCCAGAAAAUGUAGAAGAUAUCAUAAACUCUUCUGAUAUUCCUCUUUCAAGAAUUGUUGCUUAUGAUAGCAUUUCACUUAGCAACUUAGGAAGUGAGAAGGGGGAAGAAAAGGAUGAUAUUGCUAUGAAUAUUAAGCAUGGGAAUGAUGAUUCUUCUGCAGAGCAGAGAUUUUCUGUAGACUUCCCUACAGACGAAACACAGUAUUCAGACAAAGAAAUUAAGUUUGCUGGAGCUCAAUCUAGUUCUGAUGUUUGUUGUGUUGUGCAGGACGGUGUUCCAAGAGGCGUCAUAGAUAAUAGUUCCACCUUAGCUUCUCCAACAAAAGCGCUUUCGCCAAAUUCCAUUGAGCGAAGGAGGGAUAAUCUCAUCAACAAUUUUUUUAAGUUGCACAAGUCCCUAGUCCCCUAUUCUGAAGCUCUGUCAUAUGCUAAAGUGUUUGUGGAAUAUGUAACCUCCACUGGUUAUGAUACUCGAUCUUAUGAUGGAUCCAUCACUGGAAAUAAUACCAAUGAAAAGAGGGCUGUUUUGGCAGCUGGUAGUGAGCAUUGUAGUCCGUCUGGUGCGAACAAAGGUGAUAAAAGAAAUGGUUUUUGCAGCUUGACUCUACCAAAUUGUGCAUCUAGUUAUAAGAUUCGCCGGAAGAAGAAGCAUGACAAACUUAUUUCUUCUGGUUCAUCGAAGUGGACUAGAUUUUAUUCAUCUCCCAUGAUGAGGGAAAGAUCCAACCCAACAAGCAGGACCAAAAAGUCUUCUUCAAUCAGUAGACUUCCCACUUCCCCUAAAUCACUGCAUAUGAAAUUCCCGAAAGAUUUUAAAAUGCCUUCGAAAGAAGAGCUUGAGAAAAGAUUCAGAGUGUUUGGACGAUUAGACCGCUCAAGAACUAAGCUCUUCUUCUACACUGGUGCUGCUCAGGUGGUUUUCCUCCGCAAUACUGAUGCUGAUGCUGCUUAUAGAUAUGUGAAACAGAAGAGCAUAUUUGAUUGUGCUAAUGUCCGAUUUUGGUUUGAUGAGCAUGAGAAAUUUAGGAUGAGGCCAAGUUCGAAUGACCAUGUAAUUCCAGAGAAGGAAGUGCUUUCAUCUCUAAAUCAUACCCCGUCUCAUGAAUGCAUUGACGUAGUUCAGAAAGAGGAUAAUAGGAAGAUAUUAUGCAGAGGUGACAGUCACAAGUCAACAUCGCCUAACGUGGGACAUUCACCUUCAAAUCUUAAAUCGUGCCUUAAAAUCCCUGACACACGUGAUGGGGAUAAUAGUAAGAAAGCUUGCAAAGUGAGAUUCAAAAUUGAAACUUCAAUUGGUUGCUCAUGAGCAUGAGUAAGAAAAACUCCUCUUUUGACUCAUAUGUAGAGCUGUAUAUAAUUUUGUCUUUAACUUCUUGACAAAGCGAAGUGGGCUCUAUGGUUUAGGAGGUACAAAACUCGUUGUAUAGAUAUUGUUCUUUUUGCUAUCAUAGGUGAACGAUGGAUACGACAAAGGGAUACAAAUAGGUACCUUUAAUUUGGAAUGGUGAAAUUUCUAUUAUCUAUCUUCUGUUGUAAUCAUCCAGUUACUGAAGUUUGGCCCUGUAUUCCACUUCGAGGAAACAUAUAUACAAUAGCCUGUAUAUUUUUCUGUUCUCUCAUCCAGCUCUUAUGAGGUAUGCUUAAACGUCGAAUGUUUGUUUAUUCCCUUAAGAUUUCCUUGUUGAGUUAAUUGAAAACAAUGAUUUUUGGCAGAAUUGACUACUACUUUUUUCAACCUCUCGUUAUCUGUUGAGUAAAAAUGGAUUUGUGAAGAAAUUGAAUGCUUCACUGUUAUCUUAUCGUAUGCUUUUAUACUCUAGUGUAGAGCCUUUAUUGUGACCAGCUGAAGGCUUUUAGUCAUAGUUGUGCACAACAUAAUCAUCUUGCGGAUGACAUAUUGGUAGUAAUUCGAGAAUUCAUACUGCUUUUGGUGAUUUAGCUUUCUCUAAUGCGAUAGUAAUUUGUGAAUUUGCCCGCAAAUGCUUUUGGUUUUGCACCGCCUGUGCAGCCACUUGAAAAUGUACCUCUCGGUAAGCACUUUCGUACACCUGGAGUUGCAUUGUUUGGAUCAUUAACAAUUCAUGUUGGUUUUACUGUGGCAUGUGCCGGCUGGCAAUGCGCAGAGUGUAACUUGUUUCUUUUGAUCCGUUUCUGCUUUUUCGGAAUUGUCUGCAGCUCUAUAAAGAUGUUUUCCAUUCUUGACAAAUUUGAAUUUGUUAGAUUAGCAUGUAUGAUAUUCAAUGUCCAGGUGAAAUGCAUCUGAAACACAGAAUCAAUGAUAUUAUAUGCUCGUCUCACUUCAGGAAGCAGCAGCUUGUCCGGUAGUAAUUGCUGGUGUUCUACAAUAUCUGUCUGCAAGAAACCGGUUUUACUUUUUAAAAAUGAAAGAUCUGAUAAAAUGCUAUGAGCACUCGGAUGCUUAGAAAGAGCUUCUGAAGCUCUUUCUUGCUCCUGGCACUGGAGUUGGAUGUCACAAUCUUUCCCUUAAGCUGAUGAAGAGAAAUGAGGUUUACAUUCUAAUAUCUUUCUCCGUAAAUGUUUGAGUGCUCAAUGAGUAAACAAUCAAGUAUAGUUUCAGAGAGGGGGAGGGGGGGGACAAGAAAAUGUCAGCUGGAACCAUCGACCAAGGAAAAAAAACACAAAAGGGGGAGAAGAAUAGAAUAUACAGUAUCUAUCUCAAUCUCAAUAGCUCAAUAAGGCCGGUAAUAAAACUUUGAGAUGGUUGAUGAGAUAGGACCGCUCAAAAAAUGAGGCAGAUGAAUAAGUUACGUACUUAGACAAGUUCGUCGCCCUCGAGAAUGUUGUAUUUGCAGAGAGGGCACGUCGCGUUGAUCCGAAGCCAUUUGACUACGCACCCAGUGUGGAAAUGGUGGUUGCAGCGAAGCAGGUGCAGCUCCACUCCAUCUUCAUACUUGGCGAGGCAAAUACAGCAUUCCUGCAAACAAAAAUAAAUAAAUAAAUAAAUAAAUAAAAGAAGGGAGAAAAUCAAUGGUGCAGAUGAAUUUGUGAUUAGGGUCGAUGGAAACGGAUAAGAAUUAUAAGAUAGAUGUGAAAUGCACUCAGGCCUGGGCAUUUUAGAAUAGAUUCCACAGCUAUAUAUUUUCUUCUAUUGCAACCUUUUGCUUUGGUUAAUUGCUUUUUUUUUUUCAGUUAUUUUGGUCAAUUAAAAUAGAAGAUGAGUGGCUCUAUUAGCUCUGUUAAUAAUUAAUGGGACCUCAAAAGAAAAAAAAAAAAAAAACUAAAUUAUAUAAAACCUUCCUGCAAAUAUCUGCUUUUUCACUUUUUUUCUAUCAUUUAAAACUCUACACUUUGGCCCCUUGUAAAAUAAAAAAUAUUCACAAAUGGGUAUGGUGUAAACUGUGAUGACAAAAUGAUCAAUUUGCCCUUCCCCACUUUCGUUUCCUUCCUCAUCUUGCCCAUCCGCCGCCUCGAUCGGCCGUGGUUUGCGCCUCGAAUUGAUCAGCCACAGUUCUCUUCAUUUUCUUCUCCACCUACUCCUUUUCUCCUUCUGCACCGCCGUCGUCGUUCCAUUUCUGCAACAAUAGAGAGGAAAUCGAGGUAGGCGUGGAUGGAGAGGUGGACAAAGGCAACAAGGCGAAGGCGAGGCAGCGGAGGAGGGCGAGGGAGUGUUUGUGGGCGUGGAUGGAGAUGUGGGCGAGGGCCAAGCAGCGGAGGAGAGCGAGGCGGAGGAGGGCGAGGCGGCAAGAAAGAAGGCUGAGGAUUUUUUGGUAUAAAAAAUAUAUAAUAAUAUUUUAUAAAUGGAACCUAACGGGACAUUAACGAUAGAGGGUGAAGUGAACAUUUUUUAUUUUAUAAUGAGACAAAGUGUAGGUUUUUAAAUGACAGAGAGGGAAAAUAAAAAAGCGGGUAUUUACAUGGAUGUUUUCUGUAAUUUAGUCCAAAAAAAAUCUAUUAAUGGAACCUGUACUUUUAUUUGCUGAAAAGCAUGUCAGAGCCAACGCUAAAUUUAACAAAACCCCCGGUUUAACUAACGCGAAAAACAUUUAACCAAUUAGUCACAAAUAAUUCCUAUUUCACACAAACUUCAACCCUUUUUUGGUUAUUCCCUAGCAUGGAGAUUGAACAGUGAAAAAAGAUGCAAAACAAAGAAGCAGGGAGUACCAAAUAUUUUAGGGGGAAAAAAAAUCAAACAGGAUGUUUGUAAACGUAAAGGAAAAUGUACCGAAUCCUCAGGAGGAAGUGCAAGAUCAUCAAUAUGCUCCUGCUUUUCUAUUGCUAUCGCAACCGAAUGCUCUUCACUGUUGAAGUUCUGAGUUGUAUCAGCCCGACAGAACCGACGCUUAGGAAUAGCGCUGAUAUCGGCAUCCGAUGCUCCAUGGCCCACAACAGCUGAUGCAAGAAAUACUAAGAUACACGGGAAGCAACAGCACAGAGCUAUGCCGAUUAGACAAACCAGCAAUAUGCAAAAUAUCGCAAAAAACAUAUCGAACGCCAGAUACACCACGGCUAACCUGCAGAUUCGACGAACAAGAACGAACUUAAGAAAUCAAGAAAAGACAUAAUGACAAGAACUUUUAACUACUCUUUAUGUGGAAAAUUUGUAAGAUAGAACAAAGACGGCAACAAAUGAAAAACCUGCAUGUGACUUUAACAGAUUCAUUAUUUCUGCAGCUCUACAAUUCCGGCUUCAUCGGAUUCCCUGGCUUGGUUUGGCCUUACAAGUGGACCGUUAGAAAACUCUUUAGUUAUUUUCUUCAUUCUCCUAUAGACUAUUUCAAUGCUAGAGGAGUUCUAAAGGAUUAAGCUUACAUGAUUCAUCAUCAAAGGCCGGUAUACAAUAGGACCAUAGUUGAUAGCAAGAAAAUGGCCAGGAAAUUGUAUACAGGUCAAUUAUUGCAGUCAUAAUUCUCCGCUCCAGAAAAUACAACUUCUUAAUCCUCCUAAAUUAUAUCAUAAGGAAAAAAAUAAAAUCCAACUUUCGCUAGUUUCAUUUUGUCAAGUUUCCGUUCUUGCAUCUAUUUGCCAAGUUUAAUUCAAUAUUCUCAAAUUUAUGACAAAUACAUUCUUUUGAAUAAUUGCUUAUCCAAUAUCCUAGGAUUGGUAUUGAUGAAACGAGUGCCUUACACGACAUAGUUUUUACUCACCAGUAGAGAUGAGGAGCGUCAUGCAAAAGUGCUUGCCCGCCAACUACAAUCCAAUAGAAUCCAAGCAUCCACCAGAGUGCAGAAAUCAAAGCAUUAAGUGUCUCCAGUUUCUUCACAGAUCUGGAAAGCAAAGACAAACAUAAUUCACUUCACCUUUCAUAGAUCAUAGUUACCUCAUAAAAUGACUCUGUGCUAUAGGAAUGCAGCUACCAUUACCUCUCUGCAAUAAAGCACUCGAGAGGUAAUAAUCUACUAGGUCUCAUAUGCCUUUUAACAUAUCGUAAUAGCAAACAAGAAAGCAUACAGCAACAACAGUAUCAAGUGUAUCACUGUAAAACAAGCCAUUAUCUAAUUUUAAGAGAGAGUAAUGAUAGGUAUGGUUUACCAACUAUAUCAUAUUUGAUAUGCACACAACAGAGAGUUCAUUAAACUGAAGAUUGUAAGGAAGCACUUUUCAUGAGUCCCAGGAGAAAUGCUUAAAUUGAAAGGUCAACACUAAAGUAAAACUUAGAGAAGAGUUCAGGAAACAGUGAUGCAAUUGACCCAAUAAGCUGCAUUAGUUUUCUUUUCCUUCCUGUGUGGUUCUUGGUGUCUCUUUCGCCAACACAGGCCAACAACUAAUAAAAGUUUUUGCUUUGAAUAAUGCAUAAAAUAUAAAGUAUUUUAUAUUUCAGAAAAUACCUAACCAUUCCUUCUCAGUCUGCUGUCAAAAACUACAAAAUCUGGUUGAUAUUGAAUGUACAAUAAUCAUGAAUAGUUCCAGCUAAUGUUAUAUUUCUUCAGGUGCAUGGACUACACAAUAUUCAAAUGGUGAUGUCAAAAGGAUAUGCCCCGCAUUCUACAUUCGCUCAUGUCGUAAAUUCGGUCAAAGAAUAAAUUAUAAAAUGCUUGCUGUUGGCAUUCAGUGUAGCUUGGAAAUUGAUUAUUUUUUUUAAAAAAAGGGAAAAAUCACAACCAAAAUUUCUUUGUAAAUUAAAGGCAAGAAAGAAUAGAGCUUAUCUCAACUGUAAAGCAUUUUGAGAUUGGUAUUCCUGAACGUUCAGAAUUUUUUUAUUCUGCUAUCUAAUUUCACAAUUUAUUGGAUUGAAGUAUGUUUCUAUCAAAACUUUCAAAAAAAAAAAAAUGUUCCCAUCAAAAUUAAACAACAUUUUUUAGUUUAUAUAAAAAAACGUAUAGAACUAAUUGAACUAUGGGCCAUUUUGAUUUGAUUGCCUAACCUUUCGAAAGUUUGAUUUUACUGCCCGACCUUUUAAUUUGUUUGAUUUAAAUCAGUCAACAACAUUUUGACUUCAAAAUUUGAAUGUGUCGUUUAUUUUUACAGGUUUAGUUAGUAUUUUUAUGCAAUGCCUGCAACUAUAAAUUCAUUAAAAUAAGUAAUUAGCUUAAAUUGUUUAAAGUCAAUGUGCCGUUGAAUUACUCAAAUCAAACAAACUUGAAAAAUUGGGCAGUAAAAUUAAAAUUUUAAAAGGUUGUGCAUCUGAUUCAAAAUGGUUGAUAGUUCAAGUAAGUUUUGUACAUUUUUAGUUUAUUCGUUGAAAUAUUUUCACAAUUUAUCCGACUAGUCUAUCACGUGAUGCAGUGCCAGUAUUCUCUAUUUUUUUUUUUUAUCAUAAAUUGUUUAAUCCCAGGAAAUUUUGACAAAACAUUCUAAGAAUGUUUGUGAAAUAAAAAGGAAUACAAAAUUAGAUUGUAAAUCAAAUCUCAGGUAUCCAUUUCAAAAUAGAGUACAGUGCAGAUAAAAUGUACACAUUUUUGCUUAACUAAACAUACAAAAAUUACAUUGAAUCAACAGUACUAAAGAAAGGAAACCGAAUUUGUCGCAUUAAUCCAAUCAAUUUCAAGAAACAUUUGUAACUCGAUUCAUUUGCUUAAUAGAUAAUUCGAAUAAAUAGAACACACAUGGUGAUUAAUACCUGAUUUCAAAGCAAUUAUCCUCCGAUCCAUCCUCUUCCUCAUCCUCAUCAUCAUCAUCAUCAUCCGCAUGCCCUAGACGCUCCCACCACCUUCCCCUCGGCCACAUCCUCCUCCUCCUCCUCCUCCUCCUAUACUCGAAGCACACGAACCCCACGCGGAUCAAACACUGGAGCGCGUACCCGAAAAUCCAAGCCCUAAUCGGCGUCGGCGGCCUCUCCUCCGCCGCGGCGAUGAGAGCCGCCGCCGACGCCGCCGCGAAGGCGAGGUUCCAUGCGAGUUCGAGCGCCACCACCGCCCUCGUGCAUCCCCGCUCGCCGCGCCGCCCCUGCUCCGCCUCCGACCACCACCCCCCGCCACCUCCGCCCCCGCCGCCGCGGUUGUAGUGGUGGCGAUGGACGAGAGGGUCGGAGCCCUCCAUCGGAGAGGGGGAUGGAGGGGGCGAGGGAGGAGGAGAGAGAGAGAGAGAGAGAGAGAGAGAGAGGCGGUGAGAAUGUUUCGGAAGCGACGGUCGAGGGCGCGGCGAAUCGAGAGGGACAAGUGCUCCUGGAUAUUUAUAGUGUCACAGGUUGUCAAAAGCGUCCUACGGGGCAAAUACCCUCCACGUAGAUAAUUUUUUUUCUAUUACUGUAACAUAUUGUCAAACAGUAUAUCAUCUAUAAUCUAUAAUCUAUAAACUAAUAUGAAUUCCCAAUAAUUUUGCCACGUGGCAAAAAUUCCUUCACCCUCACUUGGUCUUCUUUUUAGUUGAACCGUUUUUUUUUUUUUCCAUCCAAACCUUUUUUUUUUCCACACGGCAAUAAUUAGGUUUUGAACCGUUUCCUCUCCAAUCCCUUCCGUGACGUUCCUUCUCCCCUAUCCGUUGCAGAGUUCCUUCUCUUCUCCUUUUUGCGUCGUUCGCUCUAUUCCGCACUCCUCUCCCCUCCCCUCUCUUCCCUUCCAUCCCCUUCCUCACCUUGCCGCACUCAACAACGGCUCCAUCCUCCACGGGAACAGCGGCUUCCUUCGACGAAAUCCUCCAAGGCAAGAACACCAUCAGCGCCUCCUGCAAGGAUGAUUCCCAAGCCAUAGCCCAGGUUUUGAUCCAUUAGAUACUUUUGUCUAUAUUGAUUGGAUACAAAAUUUAGGUUUUGAUCCAUUAGAUACUUUUAUUACUAUUUUCUGGGGUGGUGCGAAAAUUAGGUUUUCGGACGAGAAAAGGACCUUAUGGGAGGAGGAGGAGGCCGGGGGCGGUGGAGGAGGCGGAGGAGGAGGAGGUAAGGAAGAAGAAGGUGCGGCUCCGGAUCUAUGGCAACGGAUCUCUUCUUCGAUCGCACCAACGUGGUGCGCACCUUCAAGUGCAUCUCCCGCCACGGCCAGGGCCCGCGCCUCCUCGCCCGAUUCCCGAACGGACGCAUUGAGGAGUUCAACCACAUUAGGGUUUGUAUUCGCCUCUUGGAUUCAUCAUAUUAUUUCAAUCGAUCUUUUGUUCUUCCAAUUUUUGUCCUAUUUUUUAAGAAAAUUUGCCAAUAGGGUUAUUUUGGUAGUCCUAUUGAAUUGUUGAAGUCUUGGAGAUGAUAGCCAACAAUAGGGUAAUUUACUUUCGUCGUGUAAUUUGUUGAAUUGAAAUUUGGUUUUGUUGCUCUCUUAUCCCCGGGGCUUGAGUUGUAAAAUCCUAGACGUUACGUAGUAGUAAGUAGGAAUUAUAAUAGGUUCGAUAGCUAUAAAUGUAAAGAAUCUAUCUUUACAAGCUAGGAAUCAGCUUAGAGGAAGUUAGUGGAUUGAAGGAAAUGAUGCAAAAUGGAGAAGUUACUUUGAAAUAAAGUUGCUCUACGAAUUCUCUAAAUUCCUUGGUCAAAAGGGUACGUGCUUACGCUAUUGCAAAUAAGAGUAUAUAUGAUUCCUGUUUUGAACUAUGAUUAUUGUGACUUUUCUAGAGUGUUCUUUCCCCUUCAGAUAUUUUUAGAUGAAUCUAUUUCUUAUCUUUAUGUUUUAGAUAAUGGAUGAAUUCAUGAAUGGGAUUAUGAACCAGAUCUAAGAAGCCAAGUUCACAUUUUAUUCAAGCCGAAUCGAAAGAGCACGAGGAGAUUGAGAAAAUUACACGUGUUGGCGGCGGCGGCGACGACAGGGCGCUCUGUACUUCUUGACAAACAAAAUGAAGUGGAUACUUCUUGGCAAGUAUGCGCUCAACAUUGCAUAUUUGAUUAGGCAUAUAUUCUAUAAGGCACUUUUUAUCUCUUUUGAUGUUAACUUUGCAGGUACCUAUUUGCAAUUUCUAUCAAGUCUUCAAUCUUUUUUUGUUUAUUUAUUCUUCUUGCUUACUUUACUAGGUUGCAAGCUAGCAUCAUGCUUUGUAUUUAAACCUCCUAGCGUACAUAUGGCAAAGCUACAUCAAAUGAAACCUACAAAUUUGUAGAUAAUGAUAAAAAAGUUUAUGUUUUGCUAUUUAAGAACAUACAAUAAAAUAUAAUUCUAUACUUUUUUGAAGAGUUCUUUAAAUUAUGUGAAGUGAUUCUAAUAAAUUGAUGCACUUAUAGAUCACAUUACAGAAAAUUGAUAUACAACAUUACGAACUAUAUAAUUCUAUUUUGUUAUUAUUAGAUGAUGUGAAGUCUCCACAUUAGUUUAUCAAUGCACCCGUUGUUGUCCGAGUAGAGACUUUACAUAAAGACAAAAUUAUUCUCCAGUAUGGCCAAGAAAACUUAUUUUCUAUUUCUACUGACUAGGGGGUAAAAAUGCAAAGCUGCUAUAGCUAAUUCUCCGUUCACUUUUUGCUUAUUUUAACAGAUAAAUAAGUGACGUUUAUAUGUCAUUUUGUAUUAUUACUUUGAUUUGUAUUCAGAUUGUUGAGAUAAAUUUAAUCAUUAUUGUCUCCUCAGAAGAUAUUUCAGAAUAUCUUUUCUUCUAUCAUCAGAGAAGGUAAUGAUGGUUAAAUUGUUAAGUCUACUCUCUUUGGCACGCUAAUCGCAUAGUAUUUAUGUGCAUAGUCCAUUCAUUCUCUAUAAACUAUGUAAUGUCAAGAGUGUAGGCCAUUCUUAAAGCUCAAGUGAACCUUGAUGAAAUAAUAUUGAUAUAGUUUUUUUUGUCUGUCUAUUAUUAACAUCACAGAAAAUGAUAAUUAUUACAUGUCAUUAUUUCAUUUGUAGGAAUUGCUGGUUUUUUUCUCAUGUUACUCAAGUAUCUUAUAGCUUUCUCAUUUCGAAUCUGUGGCACAAAAAGAAAUAUUAACAGAUGCACAAAUCGACCAAAAUUUUAAAUCAGAGAUGAACUGCAAGAUGAAGAUACUUAAACUAAUACUUAAUCUUCAAACAAUAAUGCGACUAACCAGAACUUAACCUCAUCUGUAAUACAUAAUGUACAGAACUUUCAUUUGUUUAUAAAAGUUGACUUACAUAGACAUAUUAUCGGGUAAAGCAUACAUAUAAACUAAAAAGUAGAAUGAUUCUUGAAAUUUAAAAUGAGCUGAUAUAUUAGAGUAGGGCUGUCGUUCACAACUACGUCAGAAAGAAAGAGGAAGGAAACAAACCCGAGAAAUGGAUUCUGGUGGAGUUCCAAGCAGAUCAGUCAUGAGGUCCAACUGAUGAAUUAUGAGAGAGAUAUUGCAAUCAUAAAAAUGUAGUAUCACCCUCAAUUUAUUUCGACGAUAAAAUAUACUUACUAUUUUAUUUUAUUACGUUAUCAUGUAUAUUUUAAAAUUUUAAUAUUUACUAUUAUUUUUUAUCUCAAAAAAAAUUUUAAAAUUUAUUUCUAUUAUCUACCCGCGGCAUCGCGCGGGUUUCUGCACUAGUAUAAUUAAAUAGUACAUCGUAAUAUUUAAUUAAUGCAAAAUUAAAAAAAUAUUCUGCUAUUUGACUGAAUGUUACAAUUUGUUAUAUUAUUUUUACGAUUUACUACACUAAUUAAUUAACUAGUGUAAUAUAUAGUCAAAUAGUAUAAUAUUUUAUUUUUUUUAAUGUAGAAAGAAAAUAGAAAAAAAAAAGAAUAAAAAAGAGAGCAUUAACAUCCAUCCUCCUCCUUUUCUUUCGAUCUCUCCUUUCCUUCUCAUCAUUCUCCAACUUCGGCACCUCGACGUGCCCCAUCACUUCAAACUGUGCCACUACUCGCACCCUCACCUUCGCAGCCCCUGCUGCAUUAAUUCGAGCCGGCGCUGCUGCCGCCGGUAGCAAUCGAGAUGUGAGUGAGGUAGAGGGAGGAGCACGAUGAUGAUGAUGUGCGAGAGAUGGAGGAUGGAGAAGAAGCGGAAGCAGAAAAGAAAUGAAGAAGAGAGAGAGGGGAGAGAGAAGAAGAGUAUUUUGACCCGUUUCUAAAAAAUACUGUUCGAAUCUAUAAAAUUGAAAAAGGCGAUCAAAACAACAGAUUUUUCAUGCAAAAAGGCGAAGAUUCAAAUCAAGUGGAUCCAAUAAUGGGUCACAACUUAGUUAUAUUUUGGCCCAUUUAGACCUUGACAUGCUUGGGCUAAAGUUAGGCUGGGCUUAGAAUGCUUAAAAAUUGGGUUCGUAGUGGGCCUAAACUUUGUUGGAUCAAAUAAAGUCCAUUGAUAAGGCAUCGACCAAACAAAUGAGAGGUAAUUAUAUCAUUAACUAUUAUGGCGUGUUUGGUUCGAAGUCGGAAUUAGAAUCGGAAUCGAAAUAAGCUGGAAUUGGAAUCGGAAUGACUCGUUACAUAAUUCUGUUUGGUUCAUCACCUGAAUCGGAAUCGGAAUAAAUCAUUCCCAUUGUCAGUGUUUGUUUCAGAUAAAUAUAAAAAAACGUAAUCAGAUUAAUAUAUUAACUCUAUCUUUAUAAUAUAUUAAUUUAAAUUUAAAUUAAAAAUUAAAAAUUAAAAUUUUACAUCAAAAUUUUGAAAUGAUGUCAAAAUUUUAAAUCUAUUUUUUUAAAAAAAUUAAACUUCGAAAAGAGUGGAUAAUUCGAAAUAUAAAACUAAAUUUCGAUUUAUUCAAAUUCAAACUUAAAAUUACAAUUUAAAUUUUAAUUUGAAUCCAUAAAUUUAAUUUAAGUUUUAAAUAAAAUUUGAAUAAAACUUUAUAUAAAUUAAAAUUUAAUUUAAAUUCAAAUUCAUAAGUUAGAUUCGAAAUACUUGAUUAAAUUUUAAUUUUUAAUUCAAGUUCAAAUUAAAAUUUAAAUUUUAAAAUUAAAUUUCUAAAUUUAAACUCAUAUUUUAAUUUAAAAAGUUGAAAAAAUAAAUUUAAUCCGAAUAAAUAUCCAUUCCGUCCGGAUUCAACUUUCAAUCCGACUUCUUAAACCGGAUUGAAAAAAGGGGUGAUUGGAAAAUUCCCAUUCCACUCGGGAGUCGGAAUCGGAAUGGAACUCCCACAUACCAAACAUCUACAAACGGAUUAAUCCAUUCCGAUUCCGAUUCUAGGGUAAAAAAAAAAGCGAACCAAACACGUCUUUAAUUCAAAUAGUUGCGGAAAAUACAAAAAAAAAAAAAAAACAGUUAUGUGGAUACACCACUGAAUUCAAAAUGCUUUUUUGGCAACAGCUUUAAUUAUUAUUUGUUUCAAUUAUGUAGUCAAAAUGCUUUCUACUUGUAGCUUUAUCCUCCAUUUAUAUUCCUUUAUUUUUGUAUCAUGAAACCUUUUACUUUCCAUUACCAAUUAAUAUUUUUAAUCCGUUACAAGCAUUUGAUAAAUCCGAACCAAAUUUGAACUUGAUAAAUAUGUAGGAUUCAAAUAUACCUUACCAAAAUUUGAUCUGAAUAGCACGGUUCAGAUAAUAAGUGUAUCCAAUAACAACUUGAUAUUGUUAAAUCUUACUACACAAAAUAACUCGACUUUGGGCAUGAAAAUAUCCAAGUAAUUAUAACUUGAUAUUGAUAGGUGUACCCAAGUAAUUAACCUUAGCUAAAUCCACAUAAAAUAUCAAUUAUUUGUCCACAAGAUUUGUGUGAAACCAAGCAAUAUCAUCACCAUUAAAUAAUUAAUAACUUGAAUCAUAAGAUUAAGAUUAUGAUAAGAAAAGAAAGAAAAUCUAAAAAAUAAAUAAGGUUAUUUGUAUAAUUAGACACCUAGAUUAUUUAGAUUUUCUUUAAAAAAAUUGGAUUACUUUUGGUACAAAUAUAACACUUCACUACAACAAAAAUAAUUUUUAGUGGCGAUUUUUUGGUGGCGAUUAGCACUGUCGCCACCAAUGUAUUUAAUACGGUGGCGACAUUUAUUGUCGCCGCCAAUGUAUAGGAAACGGCGGCGACUAUUUGAAUCUUUUUUGAUAUUUUUUGUCACUAUAAUUUUAAUAAUUUUCCAAAUGGAAUAGUACAACGUGUAAUUAUUACAAUAGCAGUCUUAAUAAGACUAAAUAGACUUUUACUAUAAAUGUGUGACAUUUAGUUGCGCAAAUAAUUAUUAGAGUUUCAAUCCAACAUUUUUUAAAUUAUAUUAUGCAUAUUUUUUUGUAUGUAUAUAUGUGUGUAUGUGCAUACGACAGGAAAUAUUAGGGAGAAAAAAAAAAGAGAUAAAAAAUACAAUGAUAAAGGUUUUUUUUUUUCUUUUUUUGUGGUUAAGAUUAAUUGCUACUCUCCAUUUCUAGCCCCACAUUAGUUCAAUAAUUACAUCAAUUAAGUGGGUGGAGAAAAGGAUUAAAAUGACACAUGCAUGUGAUACUUAACAUAUAAUAAAGGGAAAACUUCAAAUACCACCCCUGUGGUUUCACAUUUUCUUACUUUAGUGCCCUAUGGUUUAAAGUGCAUUAAUUUAGUGCUUGUAGUUUCAUUUUUAUCUUUUAUUAUCGAUUUCACUAAUUUUUUUCGUUAAAUUAGUAACAAAGUUAAAACCAAAGGGUACUAAAGUAAAUAUUCGAUAAAUCUAGAUGGAGUAUCAGAAAUUUUUUGUAUAUAAUUUAACAAAAUAUUAACGAAAAAACUGACGAAAAGAUAAAAAUGAAACCACAUGACACAAACUUAAUAUACUUUAAACCACACGGUACUAAAGUCAGAGAGUACGAAACCACAUGAGUGAUAUUUGAAGUUUACCCUAUAAUAAAUACAUCAAAAUAUCCUUAAAUUUAAAAUUUAAUAAAAAUAAAUUUCCUUUUCACGAACCUUUUAAAUGUAGGGCACGGCAUCUAGUUCACAUUAUCCAUGUUAAAUUCCAACUGCUUUGAUAACAACUCCCACUUUUUUUGAAAAAACCCAAUGGAAUGAUUCACGUCACCUAUGUGAAUUUAUAAAGUGGUUGAACUAUUUAUGGAGAAACCCCUCAACUAUAGGGUAUUUUCAGAAAUACUCUUCAACUAUUUGUAUUUUGUUUUAACUCUUUAAUUUGAAAAAAAAUAAUUAAAAAUGGUGUAAUAGUUUACUUACGCGGAUAUUACAUCGUCGUUCUCUAAAAUCUUAGACUUUAGAAUGUUUGUACAUUGUGAUAGAAUAUACAAUCAAUAUGACAAUUCUUUGAUAAUUACUUUAUUUGAAUUACUUUUCUAAAUUAGUUUUGGGAUCUAUCAAUUUUGACCACUUUGAUGGCUAUUAACUAUUAAUGAUUAAUAAAAUUCAAUGCAUCGCAUUUGAAUAGGUGUUGAAAAUAAUUAAAUUCAACAGAAUCAACAUUGACUUUAAUAAACGCCCUUCAAUAUAAAAAAUUAAAAUUAAGAAGAUAAAAGUACCAAAUCAAAUCAAAAUAGACUAUAAUUCAAGUGUUUCUUGCACAUUUUGGAAAAUCCCUACACCCACAAAACUAUUUUAUUUUUUAUCCUUAAUUUUAAUAUAACUAUAAAUGUAUUAAAAUAAGAUAUAGUACAUAACCUAACCCCAUAAACUUUAUCACUUAUCCAACUAUGCUUGAUCAAAUUUCGUUGAGCAUAUCUUUGAAAAGUAAUACCCACAAAGCAUAAGUCAUAGGAUACCACCAUUGUGGACACCAAACCCAGCUCAACAAAUAAUUCCCAAAAAUUAAAAAAAAACAACAACAACAUCAACAACAACAACUCAACAAAUUAUUUAUUUCCUUUAAUGAUUUAUAUACAAAGCAAUAAUUAAGUGUUGGUCCAAUGCUUUCGAUGUCGUAUUCCUGGGAAACUUUGUCCCCUUGUGACCAUAUUUUCUUAUCACUAUCCAACAAUUUGCAAGAAACUUAGACAUGUUACUGUGAAGGAUUUUUUCCUACACUAUACAAUAAUAAUAAUAAUAAAAGAACAUAUAUCUACACUAUACAAUAAUAAUAAUAAUAAUAAUAAAAGAACAUAUAUAUAUAUNUAUAUAUAUAUAUAUAGUGUAGAGUUACUAUACUAUCGGAAGUAUAAAGUAGUCGAUGUUUUCGAUUUUUAGCCUUUGGAUCAAAAAUUCUACGGCUGAAAUGAUAGCGGUCCCCUAGGGUUGAGUGGUCUCCAUUGGUUAAUAAUAUUAAUUCAAUGGUUAUAAAUGAUCAAUGGGGUUGAUCUAAGGGCUAAAAAAUCGGAAGCACCAACUACUUUAUACUUCCGAUAGCAUAGUAGCUCUACUCUCUCUCUCUCUCUAUAUAUAUAUAUAUACUAGUUGAGUGUACGUACAAAUGCACAUAACAAUUAAUUAUUUAAAAUUAUUUAAAAUUAAUAUAAAAUUGUACAUCAUAUUUAUUCAAAAAAUUAUAAUAUUUUAAAAAAUAAAUUUAUUUAUUAUAUAAUAUUAGAAAAUACCCGUCAUAUUCUAACUCAAAUUUAAAUAGUUGCUAUCAACAACAAUUAUAUAGUUCUUUUUUAUUUUAUAAAAUUUAUAUAUAGUGUAGAUAUAGAUAUACAUUAAAUAUUUUUCUAUAUUUUUUUAAUUCCAAUAUAUUUAUAAGUUAAAUAUAUUUUUAAUUAAAAAUAUCAAAUUUAAAAAGUUAAUAUAAUAAUAAAAUAUUAGUAGAUAAAAUAGAGAUUAUAUAUACAUAUAUAUAUAUAUAGAGAGAGAGAGAGAGAUAAAGAAGUAUUAAAUAAAUUUUGAAUUAAAAGAAAGAAGAAUUAAAUAAUUUUUAAAUUAAAAUAUAGAUUCACAGUAAAUAUUUUUCGGUUGGCAAAAAUUUGGAUAAGCAUAAAUUUUUUUCUGUGGUAGAGAUAAAAAUGAAUUAAAAGUUUGUUUAAUUCAGUUAUUUAUUUUAUGUAAGAAAAGAGGAAUCAAUUUUUUUUUCCGCUAAAAAAUGGGUCUGUCGACGAACCGAAAUUUGAAAUACGUGCUUUUAUAUAUACUAGUUGAAUGCACGUACAAAUGCAUGUAAUAAUGUAAUUAAUAAUAAUUAUUUUAAAUUAAUAUGAAAUUGUACAUCAUAUUUAUUAAAAAUUUACAAUUUUUUAAAAAGUAAAUUUUAUUUAUUAUAUACUAUUAGAAAAUACCUACCAUAUUUUGUCAAUAAUAAUUAUAUAAGUUUUUUUUUAUUUUAUAAUUUAUAUAUUGUAGAUAUAGAUAUACAUUAAACAUUUUUUUGAUAAAUUUACAUAUAGUGUAAUAUAGAUAUACAUUAAAUAUAGAUAUGCAUUAAAUAUUUUUCUGAUAAAUUUAUAUUAUGUAGAUAAUAGAUAUACAUUAAAUAUAGAUAUACAUUAUAUAUUUUUAAUUCUAAUAAAUUUAAAAUUUAAAUAAAUAUUUUAAACUAAAAGUAUCAAAAUUAAUAGUUAAAUAUAAUAAUAAAAUAUUAGUAGAUAGAAUAGAGAUACUAUAUAUAUAUAAUAUAUUAUAGAUAGAGAUAAGGAGAUAUUUUUCGUUAGGCAAAAAAUUUGAAUAGCAUAAAUUUUUUCCUGUUGUAAAACAAAGAGGAAUUAAAAGUUUGUUUAAUUUUGUUAUUUAUUUUACGUAAUGAAUAGAGGAAUUAAUUUUUUUUUCCUGCCAAAAAAUGGGUCUGUCGACAGACCGAAAUUUGAAAUACGUGCUUAUAUAUAUAUAUAUAUAUAUAUAUUAUAUAGUAUAUAUAUGAGAGAGAGAGAGGAGAGAGAGAGAGAGAGAGAGUAGGCUACUAUACUAUUAUGAGUAGUAGGCCUUAGUACUCAUAAGUUGUUUUCGAUGAUAGAGCUUUCGAAUCGACGAUCCCUCCCAUUAAAUAUGAUCUAGAGUAUUUGAAACUUCUAGAAAAAUUAAAUUUCGAAUUUUUUCCGAAAUCAUAAUAGAGUCCAUCAAGCGGGCAUAAAAGAUGAAUGGUCCAAAAUCGAACGACGUCCUAAAAUGGAGAUCAGAUCCUUUUAAUUUAAGAUCGGAGUUAUUGAUCUUUAUCUAGUAGUUAAUAGAAUUUUCUAUCAAAAAUUCAACCUAUUCUGAUUUUUCCACGCGUUAAACUGCAAGAUCCCAUACCGCCGGUUAAAAAUUGUCAAUUUGUGAGCUUUUGAUCGUAGGUAAAUGAUGUCGAAAAAUUAUGAAUUUAAUUUCUAGCAGUUUUAAAUGUUCUAGAUAACGUUUAACGGUGUGGAUCGUCGUUUCGGAAGCUCUAUCAUCGAAAACAACUUAUGAUGCAAGGACGUCAUUACUCAUAAGAGUAUAUAGCCGGACUAAUAUAUAUAUAAGUCCAGCUGCUAUACUAUCGGUAGCACGGGACCUCCCGUGCUACCAAGUUGUUUUCGAUGAUGCAGCUUCCAAAUUGACGAUCGGCUUCGUUAGACUUGAUCUACCACUAUUAAAGUAUUUGAAACUAAAUUCUCAUAAUUUUUUCGACAUUAUUUGUCUAAGUGAUCAAAAGAUCUCAAAAUUGACCAUUUUAAUGGCCGAUGUGGCGUUGUUUUGUGGUUUAACGGUGUAAAACAAUCGAAAUCUGAUGAAAAUUUUAUAGAAAAUUCUUUUCACUAUUUAGAGUAAGAUCGUAUAUCUGAUUUGAAUUUAAUUUUAUCAUCAUUUUUUAUGAGAUUUUAUUUUCAGCCGUUCAAUUUUAGACUAUUUGUUUGAUAGUAAAUGAUAUCGAAAAAUUAUGAAAUUUAGUUUCCAAAUACUUUUAAUAGUGUAGAUCAAGUCUAACGGAGUCGAUCGUCGAUUUGGAAGCCGCAUCAUCGAAAACAACUUGGUAGCACGGGAGGCCCCGUGCUACCGAUAGUAUAGUAGCCGGACUCUAUAUAUAUAUAUAUAACUAGGCUGGAAUACUAUUAAUAACAACAAUGACGUUUUCUGCCCUUGGAUUAAAAGAUGUGCGGUUAGGAUGAUGUGGGCCUCCUAAGGUUGAGUGGGUGGUUGGUUGAAUAGUAUAAUCGAACGGAUAAAAAUGAUAAAAGAGUUAAAUUUAACGGCAGAAAACUUGAUAGCACUAAAUGCUUCGUGCUUUCGAUAAUAUCCCUGCCGGGCUAUAUAUAUCUAUAUAUAUAUCGAAAACAUAGGGGAUCUGAUGCUUCUAACUUUUUAGCCCUUAGAUCAGUCUCUUUAGUUAUUUUUAAUUUUUGAAUUAAUACUAUUACCGUCUGAGGACCACUCAAUCCUACGGAUACUACUCAACCCUAGGAGGGACCACAAUUAUAUCAAUCUUCAAUUAUGGAUCCAAGAGUCAAAAAAUCAUAAGCAUCAAANAAGUUGUUUUCGAUGAUAGAGCUUCCGAAUCGACGAUCCAUACCGUUAAACAUUAUCUAGAGCAUUUAAAACUUCUAGAAAUUCAAUUUUAUAAUUUUUCGAUAUCAUUUACUUACGAUCAAACGGUCAUAAAAUUGACAAUUUUUAACGGUCGGUAUGAGAUAUUUGCUAAUUUAACGGUAAAAAAUAAUCGAAAUAGGUUGAAUUUUUGAUAGAAAAUUCUAUUCACUAUCUAAAUAAAGAUCAAUAAUUCCAAUCUUAAAUUGAAGGAUCCGAUCAUCCAUUUUUAGGAUGUCAUUCGAUUUUAACCGCUCAAUUUAUACUCACUUGAUGGACUUUAUAAUGAUUUCGAAAAUUUAUGAAAUUUAUUUUUUAGAAGUUUCAAAUAUUCUAGAUCAUAUUUAACGGUGUGGAUCGUCGAUUCGAAAACGCCAACAUCGAAAACAACUUAUGAGUAGUAAGAGUUCUAUACUCAUAAGAGUAUAGUAGCCCUACUCUCUCUCUCUCUCUCUCUCUCUCUCUCUCUCUCAGCGCUCUUCGUAUAUACCUAAUUAUAUAUAUAUAUAAUAUAAUACUAUAGUAUUUAGUUGAGCUAGAAUACUAUCGAUAGCAAAACGGACCCGUUGCCGUACCACUCAUUUGUUUUGAUGAUGGAGCCUCCGAAUCGACGAUCGCACCGUUGAACAUGAUCUAUACCAUUUGAAGUGUUUAAAAUUAAAUUUCAAAUCUUUUCGACAUCAUUUACUAAUGAUCAAAGGUGUUUCAAAAUUUGUAAUUUUAAUGGUCCGAUAUAGGCGUUUUCUCAUUUAACGGCGUAAAGAUACCAAAUCAAUUGAUUUUUGUUAGAAAAUUAUUUAAACUAUUUAAAACAUAUCUCAACCUGUUGAUCUGAUUACAAGGCUCCUAUCAUCAUUUUUUAAAGAAUAAUUCAUAUUCAGUCUUGUUCAUUUUGUGUCCUACUCGAUGAAUAAGAUGACAAAUAUCGUAAUGUACGAAAUUUGAUUCGAAACCUCAAAUGUAUAGAUCAUGUUCAAUGGUGCCGAUCGUCGAUUCGGAGGCUCCAUCAUCGAAAAUAAAUGGGUGGCAACGGAGCCCGUUUGCUAUCGAUAGUAUUCUAACUCAACUCUCUCUCUCUCUCUCUCUCUCUCUAUAUAUAUAUAUAUAGAGAGAGAGAGAGAGAGAGAGAGAGAGUUGGGCUAGAAUAGUUGUUUCUUUGCUAUCAAGUUUUUAGCCUUUAGAUUAAUUUCUUAGAUCAUUUCUAGUCAUUGGAUUAAAUAUUAUAACUCAGUGAAAACCAAUCAAUUCUAGGGGGAUCACUCAAUCCUAAAGGAGUAAUAUCAUUCUAAACCUAUAAUUUCUCAUCCAAAAAUUAAAAACUUGAUAGUAGAAAAGGAUAAAUACUAUCAAUAGUAUUCCAACCCAAACUCUCUCUCUCUCUAUAUAUAUGUGUGUGUGUGUGUGUGAAAUCUUGUAGAAUUUUCAUCUAAACAUAAAGGUUUAAAAAAGUUAUAUUACUUUUUAAUUUAUUUUAAAUAAUAAUGUGACUCUAAUUUUUAUAAAAUUUUGUUGACUAAUUAUAAUUCAUGAUGAUCAUUGAAUUUGUAAGAGUUCAUACUGGCCGGAUAUAUAAAAUGUUAAGAUAAAUUAAAAAAUAUUCAUUAAAUUAAAUAUUAAAAAAUAAUAAAAAUUUGGAGCCAAUCAGGCAAUUUAAACUAAUAAUUAAAAGUUUAUCUGAUUUUUUAAAUAUUUAAAAGUUUAGGUGCCUUAAGCGUAACGAAACUAAAGUUCAGAAGAAUUCAGAAUAAUUUUUUUUUUUCAAAAAAAGAAAGAGAUUGCUUUCACUACCCAUCUCUCAUUAGGAUAAAAAUAAAAUUAAUUAUCCAAUAUCUCACCAAAUCCUAGUUCCCAGGUCAAAUUAUUUGGAGACUUUUUUUAUAAAAAACACAAAAAAACAUGUGAAUACUAACUUAACCUUUAAGUUCUUGCAUGUAUUAGAAAUUGCUUUUACAACCAUUUAACAAAGCAAAUCCACAAUUCAAUUAUUUAUCUCUCAACCAAUUUCUCUCCUCUAUUAAUUAAUUAAUUAGAUAAGUAUGUUUAAUUAUGCUUGUAUUAAUUAGAUAAUUCCACCAAUAAGACAAAAAUCAAUUAAACAACCUUGCAAGAAAAGCAACCUAGAGAUGAGCACACAAUAUUCAUUAUCCAAAAUUCCCUCAAAAGAAUAAAAAAGUUUUGCAAUUAAAUAUUUGGUUGAAAUAAAAUAUUGAAACUAUUGCAGGUGUGUUUUGAAAAUCUUUUUAGAUGUACUGUAACAUACAAUCCAAAGUUUUGAUGAUGGGGCUUUCCAUGUGGGACAUAUCUUUGGGCAUUAAAAAACAAAAUCAUUUUGCUUUUGCUAAAUCACUUUUGUGGUCCUCAGAAUAUAAGCAGCUUUUUUUAUUCAAAUGAUAUAAUCAAGACCAGCUGUCUGAUUUAAUUAAUUAAAUAUUAAUAUGUCACUAAUGUAAAUAUAUCAUAAUAAAUGCUUAACCAAUCAAUUAGUUUGAUUGAGUAAUAGAAGUUUGAGAUUAAAAUAUCAUGGGUUCUAUGAUUGAAAUCUUAAAAAGUUUAGAUAAUCAUUACUGAUUGUUAACUUAGAUGAUAUAUCGUCCAAGAUGAUUUUAAAUUAUAUGAUUCUAUUUAUUUUUAGAAGUAUUCUAACUCUUAAUAUAAAGAAAGAAAUGCUAAAUAUUCUUGCUAAAAGAAUAAGGGUCUAACUGAAUUAUGAACUAUUUUUAGUUGUUUACCUAACUUUUCAAAAUUUUGGUUUUACUAUCUAAACUUUUAAUUUAUUUGAUUUGAGUUAGUUGACGUCAAAAUUUGAAUACGACGUUUAUCUUUAUAAAUUUAGUUAGUAUACAUAAUAUAGCUCUUGCAAUUAUAAAUUUAGUAAGUAACUAGUUUAAAUUUUACCGUCAAAAUAUAGUUAACUGACUCGAAUCAAAUAUACUCAAAAAAUUAAAUAUUUAAUUGAAAAUGGUUUCUGAUAUGUUCUGUGUAAGCACCUUGAUAUACUGCAUCGACCGACUCUAAGGCAAGUGGCGAAGGAUUCGAUAGUAACCUAAUUUUUUUUAUAGUAACCUAAUUUUUUUAUAUUUUUAAGCUAAGUUUAUUUUUUAAAAACUAAAUAAGUAGGUGGUAAGCUCAUUUUUCUUAAAAAAAAAAAAAAAAAUCCCAUCACAGCCUACAAAUACAAUAACAGAAUCCAAUCUCUCUGCUUUGUUCCUUUUUUGGUACCAAAGCGCAGCAGCAGCACCACCACCUCAAGAGAUACCUUUGCCUUUAUUUUUUUCACUCUCUUUUUCUCUAUUUUCCUUUAUACCCCACACUUUUCCCUCUUCUUUUUUCCCUUAAUUAUCGUUGCACCAUUAAUACCUCGAUUCUCUUAAGCUCUCAUUAGCGCUCACACAAGAGAAAAGAAGAAGAAGAAGAAGAGAUCGACAAUGAAAGAGUUCAGCUACGGCGCGAUCGAGUCGGCGACGAACGGCUUCGCCCUCGAGAACUUGAUAGGGAAGGGCAGCCACGGCGUCGUCUACCGGGGACACCUCGACAACGGCACGCCGGUCGCCGUCAAGAAGCCGUCGCCGGCUUCUUCCGCCCACGGCGACGCCAAGAUCCGGAACGAGAUCGCCAUCCUCGCGUCCACGACAGACUGCCCCUGCAUCGUCAACCUCGUCGGCGCCGGCCGCGACUCCGCCGGCCAGUCUUUCCUCGUCAUGCAGCUCAUGCCGAACGGCUCGCUCCGCGACGCCCUCCGCUCGCACUCCGCCGCCCCUUCGUGGCCGCGGCGCGUGGAAAUCGCGCUCCGCGUCGCCCGCGCCGUCGCGUCGCUCCACGGCGCGUCGCCGCCGGUCGUCCACCGCGACGUCAAGUCGGAGAACGUCCUCUUCGACGCCGCGUGGGACGCCCGGCUGGCGGACUUCAGCCUGGCCGUCAGAGUCGGCGGCGGCGGCCGGACGGAGCCGAUUGGAUUGCCGCCGGCUGGGACGAUCGGAUACCUCGACCCGAGCUACACCGAGUCGAAGCUGCUGAGCCCGAAGAACGACGUGUUCAGCUUCGGAGUGCUGCUGCUGGAGCUCGUGAGCUCCCGGAAGGUGAUGGACGUGGACAGCGACACGUGCUCGAUCGUCGCGUGGGCGGUGCCGAUGAUACGGGCGAGGCGGUACGACGAGGUGGUCGCGAGAAUUCUGCGGGUGGCGGCGCGGUGCGCGGCGGAGAAGGCGGAGGAGAGGCCGGGGAUGGGGGAGGUGGUGAGGGAGUUGGAAGGGGUGGUUGAUGAGUGUGUUUCGUGGUGGUGGGCGAGGCAUGGCAUUAAUUGGUGCUCCAUAGUAAGGAAUUAUAGGGUUUGGAGGAGGAGGAGGAGGAGGAGAGUGGGGACGAGGAGGAUUGUGUGCAAGGAUCAUCUUGCAGGUGGUGGUGGUGGUGGUGGCGGUAAAUUUGAUUUGGAUUCGGAGUUUCGAAAAAAUCAUUCGUAGGAGGACGCUGCUCUACAUUCGAAGUACCUUAAAAUGAUCGAAGGUUUAGCUAAUCCAGACCUUUUCAAGUCAAUUAUUCGAUUAAGUUUAUGCGCUGAUUGGUGUUAUGUAACUAUAACUAUGAUUUCUAUCAAUUUGACAUCUGUUUUUUCUUUUUCUUUGUUUUUUUUUUUAAAAAAAAAUUUGCUCUUUUUUUUUUUUGGUAGAAGGACAAUUACCAAACCAUACAGAAACUUACAUGCAUUCAUUUAUGUGUUUUAUUAUGUGGCUUACUUUUAGCAUCUUGGCUGGGCUGAGAAUAGUGAAUUUGGUCCUGUUUGUUCGCAUUUAUUAUAGUGGUGUACAUUUCAUGCUCAACUGUACUAAAUUUGGCUUAAUUAGUUGUGUGUGUGUGUGUGUGUAUGAGAGAGAGAGAGAGAGAGAACAAUAAUGGUGUAAGGAUGAGCAAUCCACUUCAAUUAAGCAUGAUAGUUCAAUUCAAUUUUUAUUCAUGGUCAAAGUAUAAUUACUAGGCAAAGUAUUUAAUUUUGCUUUAAAAUUUUACAGGACCAUAUGAUACGUGAUCAACCUCUGGUUUGUAGCAGCAGUUAAAACUCACUUGUCCUUGCACAUAAAUCAAGCACAAGUCCUAUGUGGGGCAAAUUAUUACUAUGCAUCAGUACAACUGCGCACCAUGGUGCGAACUUCGAAUUAAAACAUGUUCUUAAACAGUUUAAUCUUUAAAAAAGAAAAAGAAAAGAAAAAAAAUUGAAACUUUUAGAUGUAUCUUCUGUUUUUGUUUAACUUAAAAACAGGGUAUUUCAAGCAUAUAGGUUUUGCCCUGUAUAUCAAAUUAAGAGAACUGAAAAUGAAAAGAGUAAAUAACCAAUCAACCAAAGAUAGAAAUAUAAAUAUGGUUAAUCAUGUUAUUUUCAUGCACUUUCUAAUUGAAGUCGAAAUCUAACAUGCGUAUGGGGAUGUUGUUUCAAUUCGAGAAUGCGGUAAUGUGUGUUAAGAGGUUUAAAUAAGUGCGAUUGUGGAUUACGAAACCAGCAGAUGAAGUUUCAAGCACUUCCUAAUGGAAGUCGACAUGUAACAUGCGUACACUGUUGUGUUUUAACACUGGCAUGUGGUAGAUUAAAUGUUAAAAAGCUCAUUAAAGUACUACUGUAACAUAUAUGUAAUCUGAAUUUUUGUAUCUGUCUUUCGAGAACUCAGUUUCAUCCACACAUAUGUAUCCUUUUCCUUAUGAAAGUGACCCCCUUUGAUGAACUUUCUCUAACCAACCUGGGAACUUAUUUGAGUUACACUUUCAAGUCAUGUAUUGUCUCCUUGAACAUGUACUGCAUCUAAAAUGAUAUAUACAACUCUACGAAUUUCUCAAGCAAUUAGUGGGUAGUUAUAGUUUAGAUUCUUACCGUUGCAUAGCUCGCCAGCGCAACGACAUCGCUACACAGAAAAGAAUCAGGCAAAGCAAAUCAGUUACGACGAUGAAGUACUAAAAUACUAACACUCACUUUAGUAAUGCCUUGAGAAACAUCAAAAGGGACCAAAGUUCUUAGUUUACUUGAGAGGACUUAUUUUUACUGGCAUAGCAUCGAAACAAGCACGAUUCCUGUACAAACAAAUCCUCACACGAAGAUGAACCAACUCACCUAUUCCUUUCCAGUUCGAUAAGAAAUGCUGCUUCGGCUAAUGCUGCUAAAAGACUUAACAUUUCCCGCAUCUUUCAGCAGAUUCACUAACAAAAGCCUGGAAUUUCAUGACAGUAAGUUAUACUCCAUUUUAGAAAACACGGUAGAAGUUGCAAUCAACUGACGAAACUAUCUUAUUAGCAGAGUCAUAGGUCUGCAGUAUAAGCGAUCUUCUUUUAAUCCAGCGUAAAAGCCAAUCGACAAAAUGUACAAAAUAAUUGGAAUAUUUUUGCGGAGUAGAACUUCAUGCAGUUUCCUAUCUCAGAGAAAAAGAAGAAUAAAGAUUAGCCUAUUUCGCCUGUACAAAUCAAACUGCGCAUUAAGAAAUUGGAUAAUCUUCUCUUGAAAGGACAACCAACUUACAUGUUGUUGUUCGGGAAUAUAAUACGAGGAGAUACAUGAAUCCGGCAUUUCAAUCACUUGAACGGACUCCUAUAAUCUUCGUCCUCGCAAUCCUCAUUCCCGACAGCAAUGUGGUUGAGCUUACAAGGUUCUGCGAGUUUGAGGCUUCUUUACCAAACUCAAUACCAUCGAGAACAUCCUGAAGUAUAUAUAACAAUAAGAAGUAUUUAACAUGUAACGAAGAUCCAGCAAAUACCAAAUUAUGCUAAGCAUUUGGGUGCAAUGAAGUACUCUAUGAUAAUUUCGAACAUAUUGAAGAGAUAUACUUAAAUUCAUUUUAGGAAAUCAAUUACGGAAUUUCAUAAUUCAACUAGAAGUGUUAAGUUACAAUUUCAUGAAAUAUCCAUCACCAAAUGUUUGAUAAGUUCGCAGAAACCAAUGAUAAUUGAAGGCUAACUUGAUUAGCCAUCUGCACACUGUCAUACCGACUGUAAUUGUCAGAUGAAGCAUAUUAUCAAUAUUAGAGUAUUAGACUUAUGAAAGAUAAUGAAAAAAAGAACCAACUAGACGAAAUGAAGGAAAUAGUUGCUGAUCAGGGUUUAGUGGGCCAUAAUUAGACCAAUCAAUCAUGAUAUCAAUGCAUACAACAUUGUUCUCUCUGCGGCGAUAGCUUUCACCUAGUUUGAAUUACAAUAUGUAAGAAUCUGACAAAUUCGUCACAAAGUGAGUAGUAUGAACCUGGAAAUCUCAUAGACCUCAGCUUCAGAUUUGCUAUCAUUGAAAACCUAGUGAUUUAAAGCAUUAGUUAGUCUUAAAGCAACAUACUAACCACUAUCUUACAGAACAGAUUAAUUUCGUUCCCUCAAAUUAGAAAAGAUCAAUAAGACAAUGCUACAUAAUACGUCCCUCAUGUUGCGAUGGCAUAAUCGACACUUAAUUGUCAGCUGUAGUCUUUAAUUGGCAUCCUUUCCAGCGGAUUCAAAACGAAACUGAACCUUGGACCUUCGUGACAUGUUUAAAUUAUCAGCUCUACAAGAACAGGAAACACGAAUCGGAAGGAAUUGAAAUGAAAAACUUGAGGAAUUGAAAACACUAUUUCCCAUUGAACUCUUCGAAUUGUAUAAUAUGAAAAAUAUUUCGCACAUAAUGUUACCAAAAGCCAGGUUUUGCAAUCCGUCAGAUUUGGUUAAUGAAACCGAUAAAUUAACUACUCCCGCUGAUCCAACACGCAGAAUCACUCAGUAUUUCUCGCAUUUCUCAAUGUUCUGCAAUAUGUAGAAACCCACCAGAAUAUGACAAGCUACGGAGAUAUUAAAAGCGAAUUAUGUGCUGCAAAAUGCAAGACAAAAAAGAUCUUAUUAUAAUCCUUCAAAAUACUAUCUAAAUAUAAAUUUAAGCAAUGAAGUAUCACUUCGCAAGUGGCACUAAAUCCAAUUUAUAGUUAUUUCGCAAUUUAAUUUCAGGAGAUGGUUGUAUCGUCCCACGACAGCAAAAACUUUCAUGCCAUUCUCCUCGUAAUUUAUCAUUAGACAUUUACGUCAUAUCUGUGUCUUUUUAUUAUUAUCCGCACAUCUCAAAUUGUGCUUAUUAUACACAUAUUAAUGCAUAAAAUUUUGGAUCUUCUUUACUUGUACCACCCCAGUUAUCCUCAUGAAUCACUAGCGUUAUCCCUCAUUUUAACAAAGUUCUUUGUGUACUUGUUCACAAAAUAAAUAAAUAAAUAAAUAAAAAGAAAGAAGAAAAAGAAAAUGGAAAUUACAACAAAAACAAAACCAAAAACAAAAGAAACUCAAAAACAAAAGGAAUUGAGAUGUCACGAGGUCCUUGUGCGUAAAUUCUCGCUUACUAUCAGGAUGAAACAUUUAGAUAGCUGUUUCGUUCGCUUUGUUGUUACCCAAAUAGGGUAUAUCCCUGUUUACUCAAAAAAAAAAAACAUUUAGAUAGCAGCUUGCUUUUCUACGUCACAAACGUUUACGGUCCACCCUCGUGGGACGGUAAGGACGAGUUUUGUGCUGAGUUGGCGAAUCUCAAGGGGGUCUGUGGUAGCAUGUGGGUAAUGUGUGGGGACUUUAACCUCACCAAGAAUCUACAGGAGAGAAGAGGUAGAUCUUGGUGUUCGCGGCUUAUGACUCUAUUCUCGGAUUUGCUGAUCGACCUGGGAAUGAUUGAGCUACCCUUGGGGAAUCAAAAUUUUUACUUGGUCUAAUAUGCAACCCGACCCCACUCUUGCAAAGUUGGACCGAUUUUUAAUUUCUACGGAAUGGGAUCAAAUCUUUCCACUGUCUAAAGUGGUGGCUUUACCUAAAAUAACUUCCGACCGCUGCCCUAUCCUCCUUACCACCAGCGACAGACUGCCUAAACGAAGUUUCAGAUUCGAAGAAGUCUGGUUAACUAGAGAAGAUUUCUGCAAUGCUCUACCAACCUGGUGGAGGGAGGUGUCGGAUAAGGGCUCUAGUAUACUCACCGUGGUUGCUAAAUUACGACAUUGCCGCAAGAGAAUCAAAGAGUGGUGCGCAACGAAUUUUUACAGUAUUGUAAAGAUUAAAGAACGACAUAUCGGAUGAGAUUCUUCACUUGGACAUCUUAGAAGAAAGUCAAAACCUCACUCUUAACCAGUUAGAGAAGCGUAAAUUGCUUAAGAAGCAACUCCAAAAAGUAGUUGCAGAGGAGGAGCUUUUAUGGAAAACUCGAGCUAGACAACAGUGGCUGAAGGAAGGUGAUGGUAACACAAAAUUUUUCCAUGCGAUGGCCAACGGGAGAAGACGAGAAAAUUCUAUUUUUGCAGUCGAAGAUGCCGGACGGACAAUUUACAGGGAAGAGGAAAAGCGAGAGUAUUUCUAUAAUAAGUUCAAAGAGAUAUAUACCCCGGAUACAGGUUACAACGGUAUGACUGGGGAUUGGAGCAGUCUUUAUAUGGACAGAACCAUUCCUAACCCUGACCAUCUUACUCUACCUUUCUCUUUGGAUGAGAUUAAGAAGGCUACCUUCCAACUUGGUGCGGACAAAGCUCCGGGACCGGAUGGGUUCAAUUUGAGGUUCUUCCAGAAAUUCUGGGACGUGGUUAAAGAUGAUCUUUUUAACAUAUUCCGCGACCUAUCUGAUGGCACAUAUUAAACACUAGCCUCCUGGAUUAUUCGUACAUUUGUCUUAUUCCCAAAAAAGGAGAAAAAUCUGUGAAUGAUUUUCGACCUAUCAGCCUUAUGAACAGCGUGCAAAAAGUUAUUUCUAAGGUGCUUGCAAAUAGGUUAGAAGAGAUUAUGAAUGAUAUUAUCUACCCCACGUAGUCAACUUUUCUUAAAAGACGGUGUAUUUUGGAUUCCUUUGUCACCGUCAAUGAAAUUGCAUGCUGGUGUUCUAAAACGGGCGUGGAGAGUGUUGGGAUUAAAGUGGACUUAGAAAAAGCUUACGACCGAGUGAGUUGGGCUUUCCUAAGAAAAGUGCACGUAUGGCUCGAGGCAAACCAUAAAUGGUGCGAGUGGAUUGAUCUUUGCGUUACCAAGGCUAAGGUAGCGGUCUUGGUCAACGGAGAACCGACUGAACGGAUUAAGACUAAAUGGGGACUGCGACAAGGUGAUCCCUUAUCCUCGUACCUUUUCCUACUGAUAGCGAAAGGUCUGGCCAGAAUGACAGAACAAGCUGUUCGAAACGGAUUGUUGCGAGGUGUAGGACCAAAUGAAAACACUAAGAUAUCUAUCCUCCAAUACGCCGAUGACACCAUUUUCUUUUGUGAGGCCAAAAGAAAGCAAGUGUGAAAUCUCUUAUUCAUCUGGCAAGCCUUAGAAUGGGCAUCGGGACUAAAGAUCAAUCGUUGUAAGUCGGAACUAUUAUAUAUGGGUGAGAAUACCAAUCUGGGCAGCAGACUUGCGAUGAUACUAGGAUGUAAAUUAGAGGUCUUACCGAUGCGUUAUCUAGGGCUACCACUGCAAAUCGGCCGCCUAAAAAAGGAGGACUGGUGGGCCAUUAUAGGUAAAAUGGAGAAAAGGAUCGAAGGAUGGCAAUCUAAACUCCUUUCACAAGGAGGUCGGCUGGUACUUGGUAAUUCAGUCCUUUCGAAUUUGGCUCUAUACUUCUUCUCAAUUUUCAAAGCACCGAAAUGGGUUUUGCGUCGACUUGAAGGAUUGCGAAGGGCUUUCUUCUGUAGAGGGACUACAACAGUCGUGGGGGGUCAAUGCCUUGUAUAGUGGAAAACUGUGUGCAGGAACAGGAAUGAGGGAAGAUUGGGGAUGAAGGAUCUUGAAACCAUGAACAUUGCACUACUGGUUAAAUAGUGGUGGAGGUUCUUUUCCAAAAGAAAUCAUCAGUAGGGUGCUCUUCUCAAUGCAUUAUAUUACCAUAGAAGAAAACCACUUCGGAAGGUCAAUCGUUCAAACCUUACUUGUCCUGGUGGUGGAGUGUUCUCACGACCAGAGAUAUCUUUAAGUGUGGAAUAUCAUUCUCAAUUGGCGACGGAAAGGGGUAGAUUUCUAGAACGACAUCUGGUGUGAUCACCUUUCCCUCUGCUCUAGACACUCGGGAAUCUUCGACAGAGUCACUAACAGAAAUCUAAGAGUACAUGAGUGUUGGAAUGGGAAUGGGUAGAAGUGGCGUAAAAUAAUGGCAGGGUUCUCCUGCUCUUCGCAAAAUGAUAAUACCCUAGUCCAACAUUUGAUGGAAUCGGUCGACGCCAUGGCCCUUACUAACCGUCAAGAUGAAGUUAGAUGGAGGUGGGCGCGUUCAGAAGUGUUUUCGGUGAAAUCGCUGUAUCUUUUUCUUCAAGAUGGUGGAGUAGUUGUUAAAAGGUAUGAUCGGAUGUGGAAGAUGAGAUCACCGCUCAAAGUCAAAAUCUUCGUGUGGCUAGUUCUGAAGAAUAAGGUUCUCACUAUGGACAAUCUCAUGAAAAGGGGCUGGAGUGGUGACGAGAGUUGUGUUUUCUGCUUAGAGGACACGGAGACUGUCAACCACCUUUUCGCCGUGUGUUCGGGUACCACGGCUAUGUUCGAAGGACUCCUACCAAACAAGCGUCGCUAUCGUUACUACUUGUCUGUUAAAGAAAUUUGGGAAGCGACAUAUAGUAAGCGGGGAGUGCAGGGGGAUAGAGAUUUGGCGCUUAUAUCCGCAACGUAGUGGGUUGUCUGGUUAGAGCACAACAGAAGAAUUUUUGAGAAGACAAAACGAUCGAUAGGGUCCCUGCCGUCGGAGAUUAGAUCACUCAAGGAGUUAUGGUGCCGAGGUCCGUGUAGUAACACGGUUGAAACCAUUCUUAUUAGUUGAAGUUCUUUUUUUUUUUUUUUUUUUUUUUUUUUUUUUUUUUAAUGUCACGAGGCCUUGGAUGCCUUCUUUUAUAGCUAAGUUUAUCCUCUAAAUGAAUGAAGCGGUAGCAUGUUACCUUUUCUCAAAAAAAAAUUUAAUUUUUUGAAUUUUAGUAUAAAAAAUACUUAAUGAAUUUUUAGAUAAGACAAAAUUAACAUAUAAUAGCGGAUCAAAAGAUCCCUAAUAAGGUGUCACGUCGUUGGGAAGCUCCAAUCAAUUAAUAAUUAAAAAAAAUAAUUUAAAAGCAUCAUAUAAAUUCUUCAAUAUUACAAAACCGGAAAUUUUAGUACAUCAUUUAUUUUUAUUGUUUAGUUAAUAUAUUUUUGUACAAUUCUCAUAACUAUAAAUUUAUUAAAAUAAAUAAUUAGUUUAAAUUUUGAGAUUAAAGUAUUGUUGAUUGACUCAAAUAAAACAAAUUGAAAAAUUGAAUAGUAUCAAAUUUUAAAAAUUUAGAUAGUCAACUCAAAAUGGCCCAUUGUUUAGUUAAAUUUUAUAUGUUUUCACUUAUUGUUUUUAAGCUAAAUUACAGAAAACUCCUGUUAAAACUUGUUUUUUCACGUUUUCUCCCUGAUUUUUAAAAACCUAUAUUUUACACCCUCAAAAAUUGAAAAAUGUCUAUUUUGGCCACCGCGUCAAGAUUCUAUUAGGGUUGUUCAUCUUCUAUUAUUAUAUAUUUUUUUAUAUUCAAAAUAUCCUUAUAUCUCUCCCCGCAGCCGCCUCCUCCCUCCUCGCUGAGGUACUCAGUAGCACCAUCUCACUACUCGCCUCCCUUUGUGCAAGUUCAAGUCCCCCGCCCACACCCACGCCCUCGUCCUUCUCCGCCACCUCGCCGUCGCCUAUCUCUCAGUCCGCGUCUACCUCAAUCUUGCGCCCCACUUUAGCCAAAUGGAAGGGCUAUAGGGUUGCAGAAAGAGGAAGAGAAGCAAGUGGACCAAGCAUAGUCAGAGUAGGGUCAAGAGGGGCAUAGAGAAGGAAGGAGAAAGUGCUACGGAUGAAGGAGGGUUGGGGAGAAGGCGAAGAAGAUGAGGAUAUUUUGAUCAUUUUUUCAUCACAAUUAACACCGUAUUCCUAUGAAUAAUUUUCAAUUUUCGAGAGAGUAAAAUAUAGAUUUUUAAAAAUUGGGGAGGAAAAGUAAAAAAUAAAUUUUGACAAGAAGUUUACUGUAAUUUAGCCUUGUUUUUAUUAUUUUUUUUUUAGUUAUGGGCCGGAGUUGUUUGCUGUUCCCUGCGGGUCUAUUAUGCGGAGCGGGCGCAUACGGGGAGAGGAGAGGCCCGAGUAUGCGGUCGGAUUCCGACCUCUUAUCGGGUACGGGUGAGCAACAGAGUCGGUCAUAGUAACCAAUAAGCCACGAAACCCUAACCCCGUCACGCAUUUUUGCCCUAAUUCCCCAUUCCUCACCCCUCUCUCUCUCUCUCUCUCUCUCGCUCGCUCGCUCUUCGCCGAGCAUCAUACGGUGAGAGGCUGAGUCUCUCUCUCUCUAUCUUUCUCUCUCUAGAAGCUUCCACCUCGUCUCUCUCCCCCACAGGUCUCUCUCUCUCUCUCUAAUCUUUAAGAUUAUUUCUCUAAUAUACUAAUGAAUUUUUUUUUUUUGUUGUUGCUUAUUAUUGAUUUAUUGUCUAAAUUGGAUUUACGAUAUCGUAUCAUUUGUGUUUUUAGCUGCUUAGAUAAUUGAUUGAUUGUUAAAAGUCACAGGAAAAGAAGUAAUCGAACUACAUGAAGUUUGCGCGAAUUGCAAUUUACGCCCUGAACUUUGAAACCCUGAAAUUUUUACCCCCCGAACAGUGGUUUUAUUGAAGCUCACCAUACAGUCCCCGUUUCUGAUAAUUUUUUUUUGCUGAAAUGACCAUCUUGCCCUUUUGCGUGCUCGGUGAUGGGUUCUGCGACAGAAUUGAACAUUUUUAGGUCGUAAAUUUCGAUCUUUUAUUGUUUCGGUGGCGAACUGCAAUUCGGGCAAUGGUUUUAUUAGAGAAUAUUGAUUGUUGUUUGUUAGUUGAAUGGCUAUCAAGAAUAGCAUAGUUCCGCUUCGGCUAAUUAUUAAUUUGUUUCUCGCUCUGAAUUUAUCAAUCAUUUUAACAUACUUUAAAUACAAGGACCUGCAUAUAUGCCUUGAUCGCCCGCGCAUCGCACGCCAGUUUUGAGAGCCUCGGCUCAUUUAUCUGAUCGGCUUAAUCUCGGACUGUAAAGUUUUGUUUCGUAUAUUAAUUACUCUGUUGUCUCGCUUUGAUCCAAGUACAAGCCGAAUCUAGUAUGGCGCGCCCGUGUUUUUAGGUUUCUAUUUGUCGACGUUUCUAAUUCUCUUACAUACCUAAUAUUGCACUACAUGCCUUGUAAAUAGGCGUGACAUAGAGAUUAAUUAAGUGGAGAGAAUUUAGGGUAAAUUGUAGGAGUAGUGAUAACUUAAUCGAGGCAUUGCGAUCCCUUGAAGAAUUGUGGCGGCCGUUAAGGAGCGAACAAACCCUGAUAAUUUGAUGUGGAAGCAGUUUGAUUCUUGGAGCUUUUUCUGUGGUAGUGGUUCAUGAAGAAAAAUAAGUCGGGAUGUAUUCAAAUUUCUCUAAGAUACGAGAUCAUUCAAUGAAUAAAGCAGGUUUUUAAUUUGUGUUCUAUGCGCUACUGAUUAUCAACUAUGUCCUUUUACAAUAACUACGACACCUAAGUGCAUAUUUAUUGUCAUCAGGAUUCCUAACAAUAUAAUCUAAAUGGCGGAUGGAGAAAACGCAGCCCCUGCAUCUAAGAAGAGGGUUGCCGGGGUACAACUCUCCAAGGAUAAUCCUGAGGUUGAUGACGAUACUUCCGAGACCGAAAUGGGGACUUUUCAAAGAGCUAGCGAGGAAGUGAUGGCGACAAGAAGGAUAGUGAAGGUCCGCCGUCAUCAACAGCCGUCCGCUCCCUCGUCGAACCCUUUCGCCACCAUCAAAUUUGUGCCGCCUAACCUAGAAGAACAAAAUAAAGUAAAGAAUGAUACAGGGAGUGAGGCAAAUGGAACCGAAAGUGGUGCUUUGUUGAAUGAAAAGGAAGGGAAGGAAGAGAACAGUGGCCAGUCGGAAGAUACAACUAAUGAAGUAACAUCUAAAGGUGAUAGUACUCGACUUGCAGAAGGUGGUGAAGUGGAAAAUGGAGCGAAAGAGACUGUUGAUGAAGCUGAAGAAGAAGCAGGUGAGGAGACUAAGGCUGAGAGAACAGAACUAGAAAAAACUGAAGCAGAAAAGAGGGAAGCUGAGGAAGAAAAGAAAGAUGAAGAAGAAAAGAAGGAAGACGAAGAAGGGACAAAGGUAGAUGAAGACGAAAAGAAGGAUAAUCAAGAAGAAAAGAAAGAAAGCGAACAGAAAGAGAAAUCUGCGUCAGCAACGCCGUUUAGUUCUUUUAAAGAAAUGUCAAGUAGCCAAAAUGCCUUCACUGGCUUUGCGGGAACUGGAUUUUCGGCAUCUGCAUUCUCCUUUGGAUCAGUUUCCGGUGAAGGAUCGACAUUUGCGGGUUCUGGACCUCUCUUUGGCCUUCAGAAAGAUAAUGCAUCUUCUUUUUCUUUUGGUUCAGGUACUUUAAACAAUAGUAUUUCUGAACCAAAUAAAAGCAGCACGGUCUCUAUGCAGCAAGUACCUGUUGAAACCGGUGAAGAGAAUGAAAAAGCAGUAUUUACUGCAGAUGCUGUAUUAUUCGAGUAUUUGGAGGGAGGGUGGAAGGAAAAAGGAAAGGGUGAGCUCAAAUUGAACGUAUCUAAAUCAAGCGAUGAAAAGGCGAGGCUUGUUAUGAGGGCGAAGGGUAUUUACAAGCUUAUACUUAAUGCGAGUCUCUACCCUGACAUGUCACUGAAGGAUAUGGACAAGAGAGGGGUCACUUUUGCGUGUCUGAAUAGUGCGGGAGAAGGGAAGGAAGGGCUCAAUACAUUUGCUUUGAAGUUUAAGGAUAGCGGUAUAAGAGAAGAGUUCCGUGUAGCUGUGGCGGCGCACAAGGGUGAGAAGGGUCUGGUACUGAAGACACCUGAGAACUCUCCAAAGGCAUCUGAUGAGUAAAGAAUCACACUAGUGCUUCUGAGAUGAAUCUCUCAGAAACAGGUGUCUGUUGUAAACACUGGUGGAAUUCUUGCUUCCUUUUUUUUCGUCUUUUGGAUGUUGUAUGGCGCCUUAAGGAUGUUUUGUUGCUAUAGCUUCAAGCUCUCUCUCUAAGUCUUAGAUCUAUUUUGAACUAUCUUUAGUUAAAUUCCUCUCCUCUGAAGAGUACGAGUGAAGGUUAACAGUUGCACAUUUUGCCGCUUUAUUGUAUUGUACUUGAGUAUCUUUGAGAAAUAUAAGGGUACAAUAUUUUGUAUCAUUAGCAUGUGGUUAUAGACUAUAAAUUGUGGAAUGCUCUUGGUACCAAUUUAUGGCUAAUUUUGUGGGAGUGUUGUUAAGUGCAUAUCCAUGUUGCUUACAUUUUAUAUUCCGAUUGUCCGAUACGAUAACAUGUAUUUGAAAUAACUAGAAGUUAAAAAGAGAAAAACCCAUUUAUUUCAUUUAUUUAGUAUUGCUUUAAGCCAAUCAUUCUGUGUAUGAGUUUAUAUUAGUAAGGGGGAUAGAGCAACAAGAACAUAAGAGCUAAGAGUCUCCCGAGGGCCGAAAUCUUCCUUCAGUGUGCUUGAGCAAUUGAAGUAUCUUUAGAUUGUUUGAUCUCUUCUAAUGCUGUCAGCACCUCUGCCAUGUUCGGCCGCUUUCUCGGAUCAGCAUGUGUGCACCUGAAAGCAAGAGCAGCAACAGCUUUGGCUUCUUUCCUCGGGUACCGACCCUCGAGCCUCGCGUCCAUCAUUCUAGGUAUCUCUCUUUUCUCAUGUAAAUGUGACCCUGCUUUCCUUCCAGAUAUGAGUUCUAACAAUAACACCCCGAAGUUGUAUACGUCGCAUUUCGCAGUUAAGUGACCUGGAACAAGAAAAGCAUACACAGCCUUGUAAAAGAACAUCAAUAUGUUUGGAAGAAGGAUAAAAUUGCUACUAAUGCAACUAGUGGUAAAAAUUUCACUGAGACUAUCCAAACUCAAAAGGGAGAUUAAAGAGAAACAAAGUUGUCAACAAUUGCAGAUUCUAAGCUAGUUGCACUUUUUUUAAGAUAUAUUUUCAGGUUUGUGAAACUGAAUCUAGAUUAGACAUACCUGUUGUAAUAUACUCUGGAGCAGCAAAACCAACGGUUCCAACAACGCAAGUCGAAACAUGUGUUUCAUCCCCAGUUGGACCGUUCCGUGCCAGACCGAAAUCUGACAGUUUUGCUCUGAAGUCCUGCAAAUUAUCAAUUGAAGCUUUCAAAUGAAGGAACAAAGAAUAGUGAUGUUCAAAAAGAUGUUAAUGUUGUUUAAGAAUUUCUAGGUGGUUUUCUAUCAUAUUGAUCUUUUGAAUAAUAUAAUAUUAAUGUUGUUUAAAAAUAUUUCGAGAUUGUUUUCUAUCAGAUUGAUCUUUUGAAUAAUAUGAUAUUAGAGUCAACCUUCAACCCUUUCAGCCCCACGAGGAUGAGGGUUCAUACCCUCAUACGCACGCCACCAUCAAUGUGAUUGCAAUUCUCGGCUGUUACUCAUCUUAUUGAUCUUUUCGAAUUUUCUUUUUUUGAACUUGUUUUUUUUUUUUUUAAUGUUGUAUGAGUGAAAUCGUACCGAGUCAAGGAGAACAUGGGAGGACUUCAAAUCGCGGUAGAUCACUUGAGUUUCCAAGCUAUGUAAGAAUGAUAGUGCUCGAGCGACAUCGACCGCAAUGCUGAUACGCAUUUCCCAAGAAAUCGGCUGUGCCUCUCCUACAUACGAUGAGAUCGACAAUUUAUAGAUAGGUAACUAACAUGCAAAUACAGUUACAUACAUAUUUUCGCACAUCGAUCGAUGGAGGAGAAACUAAAAGAGCCCCCUCUUACAUUGUAUUUUGGAAACAUACAUGCAGGUCUUUAAAGCAUAGAAGGGUGAUCACUUACUGAAUAAAUGGUUUGCCAAGCUGCCUCCAGGCAUAUACUCAUACACAAGAAUUUUGCUGUCAGAUUCUGCGCAGUAACCGACAAGUUUUAUAAUAUUUUCGUGGUGAAGACGGCCCAAGUAAGUGACUUCUGCCUGCAAGCACAAUUUUACAGGUAAAAAAUCAGAAACUGAUUCCAAAUUAUCCCGCAAAAAGUCAUUUUUAAGCGUAAAUAAAAGCCGUACCUGCCAUUCGUUACGCCCCCAAUGACUUUCUGAUUUAUGUUUCUUAACGGCGACAGCGAUACCGACUCCUGGUUUUGUAGGGGCAAAAGUUUCCUCAUCAAUCCACCCUUUGUAGACACGCCCGAACGACCCUUUGCCGAGAAGUGAAUUCCAGUCGAAGUUUUCGGUGGCUAACUUGAGAUCAUUCAAGCUGAAGGAGUUCAAAUUCGCAGCAGGUGAUGUUUCAUCUGGGAAUGGUAAAGGGAGAUUUGCUGAACUGUUGUUAUCGGUUUCGACUCAAAGAAACUUAAAGAUUUAUCUUAAAAUUUAUAUACAACUUGAACUAUGAAAUGUGAGAGAAUUAGAUAUAAACUUGGACACAACAAAACUUGGAGGCAUCAAGGAGGCUAAUAAUAUUAUCAAAGUGAUUAAGGAGAAUGAUUUUAAGUUUGAUUGAACAGUAAACUUGAUCAAUCUAAAUCUCCGAAUAUAUUUGUGCGGCGCACGCUCCGAUUCCUAAGAAGUUAGCAGCUAAUUAUUUAUUUAUUUAUUUAUUAGGUUUUACAUUUUUUAGAGUCAUAUCCAGAAAAGUACAUAAACUGGCAAUAAACUCAAUCAGAUACAUGCAAAACAUGACCAAAAAAAAAAAAAAAAUCAUACAACAUGGUUUGAUUCAACAACUAUCUAAGACAACAUUAGUGUUUGGAAAACACAGGAAAAAGAAAUUAAAGGGCUUAAUGUUAAAUGCAAAAAAUCUGUGUACCUGCAUGAAAAGAGGAAGAAGCAUGAAAAGAGGAAGAAGCAGCAACUGAGCACUCAGCAGAUCUCCCACAGAGGUUCCCCAUCAAGCAGUUGCUACAAAAUUUAGUUCUCUUACUGUCCCUUUUUAAUUUUUCCUUUUUAGAGUUCUCUUAUUAGUUAGUCCAUUAAUGCAAUCCAAACCAAGUAUAUGGUAAAGGCAAGUAGGGAAAGAUCAAGGAAGGGAUUCAUUUGUUCCAUUGACUCAAGUCAACUUUUAUUCAAGUCAAUAAUUAACAAAAAUUGGCCCAACCUCACUUUGGUGGAAACUUCAUAAGCUCUAUGAGUUACUUUUCAACAAAAAAAAAAGACCCAAAAAAAAAUUUAAUAAUAAGAAAGAAAAGCUAUGUGAGACGACUCAAUCUUUACUCGUUAAAAAGAGGAGAAAAUACUAAUAAAUUGUGAUUAUAUAAGAUCUUAUCUGAAAGAUCAAUCUAGUAAAAAAUAGUUUAGUGUUAAUCUUAACAUCCCACUCACGUGCAUGAUAAAUGUCUAAUGCAUAUUGUAUAUAACUAAUUAAAAAAAUAUUAAAAAAUAAUUAAAAAAUACGUAAAAAAAUUGCCAUAGAAUGGGAAAUGCGGGAAAUUGAACUAAAAUUCUCUUUCGAAGGAAAGGAGCUUAGGACAGGCUCUAAUAGCAUGUUUACCAAAACAUGUUACAAAAUGAUGAAUCUAAUUGAAAAUGACUUAGUACUACACUCCUUUUGGAUAGAAAGAAAGAAGAGAGAAAGGAAAAGAAGUUGAGAGAAUUUGACAAGAGAGAGGAAAAAAAGGCAAACAAAGAUAAUAAUUGAAAUUAAUAGAACUUUUAUAAUGUAAUUAUAAAAAAAUAAUUGUAAGGUCCAUUGAGAUUUUGACAACCAAAUUUAGUACGUUAUGAUUUAUAAUUACACCAACAAAUAGGUAUUUAUAAUAGGAACACUACAUCUAUAACCAGCUAAACAUAUCUCUUCUUUUGAGAUAAAAGUACAUCAAAAAUAUUUUUCUAAAAAUUAUGAUGGGAUGAGUAAACUCCAUGGGUGCAUUUAAAUUGGCUGGAGACACCACGUCAGCAAUAUGACAAUCGCAUUCUAAACUUUUUCCUACUAUAGGUUCAUCUGGUUUUGAGGUGUCGCCGCUGAAAAAUUAUGUGGAUUGCAGAAAUUAUAUUUUAACCGAUUCGUUACAAUAUGCGGAAACUAAUAUUAUUUAUAAGGGUAAACUUCAAAUACCACCCAUGUGGUUUCGCAAUUUCUCACUUUAGUACCCUAUGAUUUAAAGUGUAUCAAGUUAGUGUCCUGUGGUUUCAUUUUUAUUUUUUCGUCAGCUUUUCCGUUAAUAUUUUGUUAAAUUAUUUACAAAAUACUUCAGAUAUCAUACCUAGAUUUAUCAAAUAUUCACUUUAGUACCCUUUAGUUUUAACUUUGUCACUGAUUUAACUAAAAUAAUUAGUGAAAUCGAUAGUAAAAAGAUAAAAAUAAAACCACAGAACACUAAAUUGAUACAUUUUAAACCACAGAGUACUAAAAUGAGAAAGUGUGAAACCACGGGGUGGUAUUUGAAGUUUUCCUUAUUUACAAUUUGGGCCGGAGUAUAUUUUGCUCGAGCAUCGUUGGCCCAAGUUCAAACCAUCAGGCCAGAUGGGCCGGCCCAACCCAUUUAUAGCCCUACUUUAAUUUAUUUCCAUUUUUAAAGGGGACAAUUGGUGGAGGCAGGAACUAGAGUUUCCUUUUUUAAAAAAAAAAUUACACCAAAUUAUGCUUGAUUUGAGCUCAAUCACAUGUGUAAUCUGUGGAGUUUUUUCUUUGUUGUAGGAUUAUAAAUUUUAAUUCAGCUUUUUUUAUACUCGAUCCCGUAAUUACAUAGAAAUAAAUUUGAUUUGUUGUAUUUUAUAAUCCUACAAAAGCUCUUCUGAAAAAUAAAAAAUAAAAAAUAAAAAUGCAGCACUAAUCAAUUUACCCUAGUUUUGUUCCCCACUUCGCACUCACUACAAGGGGGCUUAUAGUCCAAAAACAAAGAUUUGAGGAACUGACAUGAAAAAAAAAAGAAAAAAAGAAAAAAAAAAGUCAAUAGGAUAUAAUCUUUGCUCCCAAGAAUCACAUUGCACUGACCGUCUCUAACGCAAGUGGUAAAGAAUUUGGUAGUUAGUACCCGAGAUUCCAAAUUCGAAACCUAAUUACUUCGUGUUUCCAGCUAAUUUAUUUCUAAACAAAAAAAUGAACGAAAAGAAAUAAACGAAACAAAGCAGAUGACAUAGUAUCUUUCUCUCAAAAAAAAAAAAAAAGAAAAAAAAGAAAGAAUCGCAUUGCUUUCAUAUGUAAUAAACAACAACAUUGGCUUACGCAAUGUUUAAGCUACCUUUAAAAGCUCAAAGUGAUGCUUCUUUUACUGCCUUGAGACUUAAGUAAGGAACAAUAUGACACAUGCCCUAAAAAUCUCUUGCAGUGCCAUUAACACCAAAAAGGAAGAAGCAUAACUACAGUAAUAGAAGAAGAUCUCAAUAACUCAAUAAUAUCCCCUUUCCAGUUUAUCCAAAUCCAGCAAAACUACUUUCACAUACAACAGCAGCAGAUACUGUUAAAUAGCUAAGACUAGAAAAGCUAAGAGAGAAGCUUCUUAAGCACUUCUUUAGGGGUUGGCUUUGCCUCCCUCUCAACAUGUCCAAAUCAUUGCUGGGUUAGAGUGAGAAUGAAAGAGUGAGAGAGAGAGAGAGAGAGAGAGCAUAAAAUGGGUGGUUUCUGAUGGCUUGUGAUGGAAUAAAGGGUUAAGAACAUGCAUUUUUCCAGCAAUAAAGGAGAAGAUGAAUGAGAUUUACAAAGGCAAUAAAGGGGAGUAGGGGGAAUCUAUAGAGAGAUCUUUAUGUGUGACAUUGAUGAGUAUUGUUGACAUUUUGAAUGGCUUUUUCUUUUUUUAACUCACUCUUCUAACUCACUUUGAUCAAUAUCUUGGAUCUAGUUAAACAAAGGUAGUGUGAUUGGAUCCCAUAGUACAGAGUAAAGGAUAAAGGAGUAGAUGGUGCCAUGUAAGAGUGUUGUUUCCUUAAGGAACUACUUGCAUACCAAGUUUCCUGCACAUUGCAACUGAAUUUGGACAAUAAAACUAAAGCAAAAACCUGCUUUAUGAUCAAAAACUUACCUAAGAAGUAGGAACCGAUGAUACAAAGUUCAUUAGCAAAUUUACAUUUCAUAAAUGACAAUAUGAAUUGUCUAAUCAGAAUAGAACCAAGAACAAUACAUAUAUAGGAGUUGAAUUUCUUUCUGUGGACAAUAAAUUGAAAAUAUUAAUAUUCAGUUUAAUCUACAACCCUAAUUAUUUAUUGGUAGACCAAGACACUAAUGUUUAAUAACCAAGCCGGUCGAUCAUUGAUUCAAAUUAGAUUGGUUUGUUAUACUGAGACUAAACCAUAAUAGCAAUGUACUGUGUAAGAAUGGCUAGAACUAGUAACACUGGACGCGGAUAUGAGAGAGAGUUCUUAUUCCAUUCCUCCUUGAGAAGAAGCCUCCAUAGCAAUCAACGCAAUUAUGGUUUGAUUCUCCUACUUGCACCCUGACAUACCAACAUAUCAAAAAGUUAAGCAUCGACAAAUAGAUAAAUGAAAGGAAAAGUUUCUAUCCGUGUUAUAGAUCGUAAACAAAGAUUAAAGAACAAACAAGAGAAUUAAACAAUUCAAAGGGGCUCAGACGAAUCAGAUUCCCUUCAUUACAAAAAGGUUGCCAAAGGAAAAGCUACAAAUAGGGCCAUGUAAGCCAAUUCAUUACACUUCUGUUGCUAUGUUUAGCUUCAUUACCUACUAAGAAACACACACAAUGAUGUUACCCUCCAUGGCCAACCUCGUGCAUUUCGUCUUUCUCAUUUUCGUCUCCCAUUUUCUCCAUGCUACUUCAAACCAGAUUAAAGAGGUAAAGCACAGUUUGUCUUAAUAUGCUUAUUAUCUAACGAAAAUUUCUCUGCAAACUUUGAGCUUAUACCACUUGCUUUUUAAUUAAAUAAAAAUUUCCUUCACAAUUAUGUCCUCAAAACAGAAGGAAAAGAGAAAACCAUAAUAAUUGUAUCUCAGUAAUAAUUGUCAGUGUGACAUGCUCAAAACAAUCUUUCCUUUCUUUUGAAUCAAGUGAAACUUCUGAUGGUUUCGCAUUGCUAAUGUUUUUGAGAAUCAAAGGUACAGCAUUAUUUAGCUUUUGUUGUGGGCUAUUUAUCAUUGUCUUUGAAUAUUUCUAAUCUGCUAAUCUUCAUAUUAUUCAAUGACAGUCUUAUGUAAUCUAUAUGGGGAGCUUUUCACAAAAUAGAAACCCAGAGGCUAUACAAGCAGCGCACUUGCAAAUACUGUCAUCAGUUAUUCCAAGGUUGUACUCUUUUCUAACAAUUACCAGAGUAUACUUCUAAACUCUCAUAAAAAUUUCACAAAUAUAUUAAAAAAAGAAAGCUUCUUAUCAUGAAUCGAUCUUUGAUUGCAACAGUGAAGAGCAAGAAAGAGUAUAUCUAACACAAAGUUAUCAUCAUGUAUUUGAGGGCUUCUCUGCCAUGCUUACCGAAAAAGAAGCUGCUCAACUAUCAGGUAGAAUCUCCUUCUUAUGGUUAUUUUGACCUUCUAGCUUUGCAAAUUAAUCUGCAAGGAAAUUUUAUUUCUCAUCUGUAAUGCGCAUAUGCAUGACGCAUGAAAGCAGGCCACAGUGAAGUGGUAUCAGUGUUCCAUGACCGAUUUCUUCAACUCCAUACCACGCGCUCCUGGGAUUUCCUAGAGACGGAAUCGGGCCUGCGAUCACAGCGGCUAAAUCGCCGAGCAUCUAAUGAUGUCAUCAUUGGCAUCAUCGAUACCGGUAAUUCUUUCAUGCAGAGAUUUCUUAACAUUUACGUAACUAAAAGAGAGAUUUUUCUACUUCUUCAACCAUGAAUGAUGGAACCUGCACCAGAUGAUUAAUAUAGCAUAAUCACCAAUUAGUUAUACAAUAAAGAACAAGAAAAAUACAAAUGCCAACUACUCACAACGUAUAACGAGUGCGAUUAACUUUGCCAAGCUCUUUUUUUUUUUUUUUUUUUUUUGCUAUUUCAGGUAUAUGGCCCGAGUCGCCUAGUUUUAAUGAUGCAGGGUUAGGUGAGGUCCCUUCAAGGUGGAAAGGCGUAUGUAUGGAAGGAUCUGAUUUCAAAAAAACUGACUGUAAUAGGUAAAAUAUUGCACUACAAGUGAAGUUUCUGAGAAAAUUUUUACUUUCAGAAACUUAGGAUGCCCCUAAAAGCUAAUAUAUAAUAUACAUAAUACAUCCUUGAAUUUCUGUUUUCCAUCAUAUAUUUUGGCAUGUGGAAAGAAGAACAAUUUUAUUCAUUUUCUUUCUAAAUGGAUUCUCUCUUUUACUCAAUCUAUACUAGGAAGCUCAUAGGUGCAAGAUACUACAACAACCUAGCCGAAUCAACACAACCACCUACAAACAAGUCCCAAAUUCCUGAAAUCACUUCAUUUGGAUCACCAAGGGACUCGGUCGGCCACGGAACACAUACCUCAUCCACUGCUGCGGGUUCAAUUGUAACGAAUGCCAGCUACUACGGUCUCGCACAAGGAGUAGCAAAGGGCGGCUCUCCGUCGAGCAGAAUUGCAAUGUACAAGGCAUGCUCUCUUGGCGGAUGCGCAGGCUCCACUGUACUAAAAGCCAUCGACGAUGCGAUAAACGACGGAGUUGACAUUAUCUCGAUAUCGAUAGGAAUGAGCUCCAUUUUCCAGUCGGAUUUUCUUAGUGAUCCUAUAGCUGUUGGAGCCUUCCAUGCAAAUCAAAAGGGGGUUUUGGUGGUUUGCUCGGGCGGAAAUGAUGGACCAGACCCUUUUACUGUGGUUAAUUCAGCUCCAUGGAUUUUAACCGUGGCGGCCUCAAGCAUUGAUAGAGCUUUUCAGUCCACUAUUGUUCUUGGCAAUGGAAGUGUUUUGAAGGUACAAAACUUCUUUUUUUUUUUUACUUUUCUUUUCCUUUUAGAUUGCAGAGAUAAAUGUUCUUCUGUAAUAUAUCAAGAGUGUUUCUCACCUCAGGGAUCGGCGAUAAACUUCUCUAACCUUAGUCGGUAUGAACAGCACCCACUUGUCUUUGGGGCAGAUGUAGCAGCAGAAUUCACACCAGUAUCAGAAGCAAGGUUUUUUCCUUUCAUUGUUGCUGAUUCCUAGAAUUUUGCUUUGAGAUUAUUCUCUCAUUACGUUAUUUUGAUAACAGUAACUGCUAUCCUGGAUCACUGGAUGAUGAUAAAACUGCCGGAAAAAUAGUAGUUUGUGUGGAUACCGAUCCAACUGUUUCGAGGAAAGUGAAGAAGUUGGUGGCUGAAGGGGCUCGCGCAAAAGGUCUGAUCUUGAUAGAUGAGGUUGAGAAAGGAGUGCCAUUUGAUUCUGGAAGCUUCCCUUUCUCCCAACUCAGUAAUGAUGCAGGGGCUCAGAUACUGCAGUACAUAAACUCUACCAAGUAAGUUGAGAAAACAUCUACCACAGCAGUACCUAGAAAAAAGACAACAACAUUCGGCAUUGCUAAUGCUUUUUUUUUUCUCCUCAAAUUCAUGUAACAAAAAAUGGUUAAAAUCACAUUUUUUGUAAGUAAAUAUAGAAUUUGCAAACAAAUCUGACAACAACAACAGCUGAAAAGGCCAUCCUAGGUGCAUUCAACCACAUAGAAUUUGAGGGGCGGAAGAAAACAAUAUCGACAUGCACUACCGGAUAAAAUUAACUUGGCCAUUGAAAACUCAAACCUUGAUUUGAAUCAUUGAAAACAGGAAGCCAACAGCUACAAUUCUCCCGACCGAGGAUUUCAAGGAGUUCAAACCAGCGCCAGUCGUCGCAUACUUCUCUGCUCGAGGACCAGGAGGACUCACAGAAGCCAUCCUAAAGGUCUAAUUUUAUCAAGAAUCUUUCCAAGAGCACAAACUCAUGAUUUAAUCUGUAGAAAUAUUUCACAACCUUACAAAAUUAUCUACUAGCAUAGCAGUGAAAUUUGAAAUUUCAACUAUGCCCUUCAAAAUCUAAUUUUAUCACUUAUAAUAUUCCCUUGUACUAGCAAAAGUGCUGUUAGUUUUCACAAGAAGCUGCAGUUGGAAGGCAUAUAAAUGGAAAUUUAAACUUUACAAUGGUAUAUAUGUUAAAGCUCCUAAUAUACGUAAUUGAUAGUGUUUCGUUUCUUUUGUUUGACAGCCUGAUAUUAUGGCUCCGGGAGUGAGCAUUCUUGCAGCAUCAAUUCCUGCAGUUGACAUUGGAGCCGUUCCAGAAGGAAAGAAGCCAUCAGACUUCGCUAUAAAAUCCGGGACGUCGAUGGCUUGCCCGCAUGUUGCAGGCGCCGCAGCCUUUGUGAGAUCGGCUCACCCAAGAUGGUCUCCUUCUAUGAUAAGAUCAGCACUCAUGACAACAGGUAACAUUCAAGAAGUAAAAUCUGACUCUUCCAUGAUAUUUCGCAUAUUAGAUAUAUGUAUACACUUGAUACUUGUCGUCGAAUGGAUCAAGAAACUAAACACAAAACACUUAGGAAGUUAAAAUUACUGAAGUUUAUGAGACAGCUACAGGUGCGCUAAUUUUCUAAACAUGGAAUGUAUUAAUAAAUGGCUUUUUGAUGUUGCUCACACUAUGGUUUGUUUCUGCAUCAAAUUUUUUCUUUUCUCCUGGGCAGAUAUUAAUAUAGUAUUUGUACGUAUAAGUUUGUCCCUUUAUGUAAACUUGCCUUAGACAGCAAAUUUUGCAGCAACCUCCAAUCCCAAGAAUUGAGACACGAAAUACUAAGACAACAGAAAACACAUUCAAACAACAAAGACAAACUUCGUGCUUCUUUUUUACAAAAUUGCUUGCUUUUUUCUAAUAGUUACUAAUGAACAGCUAAAAAAUGAGUCUAAUUAUUCCCGAGAGACAAAAAUUUUAAAAGGAAAUAAAAUCAACAAUAUCAGUUAACAGAGAAAUUCACAUUUAUUGUAUCUUACGGAAAUAAUAGAUAAUUUAUCAUCCCAGUGUUUCUUCUCACACGUAGUUUUCCAUCAUAUAAACUUAACAAAUUCCUGCAAGAGAAGAGUAUGAAUCUUGUAGAUUAACCAUGCUUGUUCCUCAUCACAG
rnacentral:lncRNA from 1 species